rnacentral:lncRNA from 1 species
GGUUUACUUACUUAGUGGACAUAGGAGUAGUUAGUGUACUUAAGAAUCCAAUCCAAUCCAAUAGUCCUGAUGAAUCAAAAUAUAAGAAAGAACAAACCGAAAACAAUUCUUUCAUAAUCUUUAAUAAGAGUGUUCCAAGUUCUCCGAAGGAGUUCCUUCGUUUGCUGGUUGCAUCUUUAUAUAUGAAACCGAACAAUAGAAUUAGCAACUGAGUGAUCGUAGCGAAGUGGGUGCCAAUGGGCUUGAUUGAGAGAUCUUUAUUGUAGGCUCUGCUUAUUCUAGAGCCCUGUUAGCUCUGUGCUCCUCGCUUAUCUCUCUUCUGAAUUGUGUAUAAUUCGAUAGCAGCUUCCCCGCUCUUGUAUGCCUUGCUUUCUUCUCAGUUCUCUAGGAUGGAUUAGUCUAAAUUGGAACCCGAAAUAAUACCCAGUAGUCAGUAGUAAGCCUACCGAUUGCCAGAAGUAAGUUACCCAACUAAAUAAGUGAUGUUAUAGUGCAUUUUCCACCCAUAUCUUUAGGGUUCCCUUUAAGAUCCGGCUUUGAAGCUCUAAGUGUAGAAUGUACUGUUCUUGUGUGAGUUGAAGACAGGGAGUACUUGUUCUUGAACACAGGACUCCAACAACUUUAGCACAACUCCGUCCUUAUGUCCUGAGUUGCUUGUCGGACGAAAAAGGGUAUACUUUCUGGGCCCUUGACUUUGAUAGCCUUCUUCAGCGAGGUGUCGUGUUUCGAGGUGCGUUAGUGAGCUCGGGCUCGGUUAACGCUUAAAUCCUUAUUUCUUUCCCGAUUCCUAGGGCCUUCAAAUGCAUUUCCGUCUAAUAUCUUUGAUUUCGAGUUCCGGGCACAGCACAGAAGAAAGUAUUGGAUUGAGCUAGGAAGCGAGGAUUCUUGAGCAAGCGUUGUUUGUUACCUAACAGCAGCAGAUCCAUCUUAUGCUUACGGUGAACUCACUAUAGCUUUUUUCUUGCACCGAGGAAGAGUCAAACAUGCAUUUCUUAUCUUUUGCGCACGCACAUCUAUAGAAUUAAGUAACCUAACAACUGAACUUGGCUUUAGAAUUAAGUAACCUAACAACUGAACUUGGCUUUAGAAUUAAGUAACCUAACAACUGAACUUGGCUUUUGCUUUUGCCGAACUAGACUUUACGCUUGCUCCGGAUUCUCUUCGGCUUCUUGCUUCCGCUUUAUAUAUAGGUAGGAUUAGACUGCUAGGUAGGAUUAGACUUAUUUACUUCCUGCAACACAAUAACCUCCUCAUAUGUCAGCCUUCUUCCCAGGAUCAGCGGUAAUCUCCCUUGCAUAUGGGUCCUAUAACAAACCUUUUGGUUGGUGGGAAGAAUUGCUUUCUUUAACCACUGCUCCCGUAUCCGAGUGAGUAACAACUUAGCUCCCGUAUCCGAGUGAGUAACAACUUAGCUCCCGUAUUCGAGCCGAGUGAGUAACAACUUAUUGAGUGUCUGGGAGUAUCCCCCGUAUCAAAGAAAGAGUAAGGAGGCAUGUAUCAAUAGCGCUAUGCUUUUAUUAUCUCCUUGCCACCAGGUCAGUAACCAGAGACUUGAAGGCUUUUUGAAUGAAGCAGCUGAGCAUAACGAAUCGAAGCCGAAGGCGGAUCCAAAUACGGUUGCCUCUCCUCUGAAAGAAGAAGUUGACUCUCGUUCCCUCUCCUCUGAAAGAAGAAGUCGACUCUAAUAAGUAAAGCUAUCAUAGUAAUUGACUCUAGGAAAGCCAUAAGUAAAGCUAUAGUAAUUGACUCUAAUAAGUAAAGCUAUCAUAGUAAUUGACUCUGGGAAAGCGGAACGAAGAUCCAAUGAAUGAGCUUGAAAUCCCGUUCAGAACAGUUCAGCUCAAGUUAGUAUGAGUUCCUAGCUUACGGAAUUACGCAAGGUUAUCGCUCAAUGCCAGGAGAUGCUUUUGCCUUCCUAAAUACUGCUAAGGGUCCUUCAUCCAGUAACCUUGUUCCCGCAAGAGAACUUUAGGCACGGGGGUGAAUACAAAUGGCAAAAUGAGAGGCUCGCUUUUUCUCAGAGCUUGCUGGCUCACCUUUCGGGUUGCACUGCCUAGCCCUCUACACCAGCUAAUCUAAAGAAAAUGGCCAGUUCACAAGGGGAAUCGGCCCCAUAGUCCAGCGAAUCUCAAGAAAAGGUCGGUUCACAAGGGGACAUAAGCAUCGGCACCAUAGUAAGGGAGUCUUUCCUCACAGAUUAACACAGUAGGGAGAGCCCUCGAUUCGCUCAUUUCAACGAAGCUCAGUCAGUUAGUUUUGGGCUGUUCCAUUCUUUUGGUAGAGGCUUUUCCGCGGGGCCAAGCAACUACUACUGUGACAGAGGCAAAGAGCCAAGCGUAUACCUGGACUAUCGACAUCCUUAUUAGUGUUGAACUUAGAUCCUUCGUUGAUCGCCUCCGCCCCUGCUGUCGUCUCUGCUUUAUAAGCGUUUCUAUCUUUCUCUGCUCGCACCUGCUGAUAAAAUCGGAUCGACUGAUACAGUAUAUGCUAUCGGUGGAGACUACCUCAACAACAGGCAAUUGGAUCUUGUCCUCUGCUUCAAUUUAUGAUGAAACUGCGGUCGACUCGUUCCGUUCUUGAUCUAGAUACUCUGACUCGGUACCCAGAUGCGACCCGACCCUAGCUGACCCCGCCCCGCUUCUUCUGAUGGGUUGGUUUUCAAUGGGGAGUUACAGUAGUUUUGAAGCAACGAAACAAUCUUUCUCUUAUCUUAUGCGCUCUCGGGGAUGAAUUUCACACCUAUGAGACUCUGGGGGAUUAACCUAACACUGCCACAGCUCGCGCACCCUUUCCAAAAGAAAGGUAUCGUUGCUACUCCGUUGAAUUGUAUCCCUUUUAUUCUUUUCUGCCCAAAGCCCCCACCCGGACAUUCUUAGCAACCUCAGCUGUAGAGAUUAGAUUCAACAUUCCAUUCUUUAAGCAAGGGAAGCAAUGCUUAGUUUUAUGACUGCUACUCUAUAUGUGGAACGCUCAAUUCUCUUCUCUGCCUUUUGCACUCACAUUCAAUGAGAUUAACUUUAAGGGUCGAACAGGAACGAACAGGAUCGCGCAGUAACGAACUGGAAUGGAUUUCUAAGGGAGUAAUAACGAAACUACUAAUAAGGAAAAUUCGAAUAAGAUAAGGGAAAGUCCGCCUAUGAGCAGGGAAUGUUAGACUAAAGGCCAGUAGCAGAAAGACCAGCAUAAGCACAUAAUCAAUAUAAUAUGUAGUUCAUGUCAGGUUGAAAGCCCAAAUCCCGAUCGGUAACUACAGACGGAAAGGCAGUGUAAGUUUCAGAGCGCGGAUAGUCGGGCUUGGCUACUACCCUGCUGGGUAGUUCAGUUACUUAUGAGUUCAAUUAAGAGUUUUCUACUUGGACCUGGGUAACCAAUGAUGUUACUGCUUGGUGUGAAUCCUAGGUUGAUUCUACUACCUAUACAGACUACUGAUACUGAGACUAUUACUUAGUUGUUAACUCCUUACUUCUUAGUGCGAUUCCUUUACUUAUGGGUUUCCGUCUUAUCGGGUAGGUCGUGAUUUCUUGUUAUCAGCAGUUCGAUUCGAUUCUUGUAUAUGCUACAUCUCAUCAAUCCCCACAUUGCUAAAGAAUAAGAGUAAGGGCUGUAAGGCUGUCAGGCAUUAGUUGCUGAGUUGGUGUUGGGAAUAGCAGACUGAUAGGCAAGAGAUAUUGGCUUAGUUCCAAUGGGCAGUAUAUAUAUGCGGAGUUCCAAGUCCCAUUCUUAGGUUUCUAUUCUGGGUGUCGUUAUUUCAAUCUUGUCGACACUGGAUUUAUUCUGUAUUAGCGGCAGGGUUCCUACUUAUUAGUUUACGAAGACAUCAGCAGGACAUAACUAAUAAGAAAUACAUAAUGGGGGCAUUGAGAGCAGGGUCCUAAGCCCCUAAAGACAUUAGUGGCAUACUUCAGGGUGUAUGCGCGCCUGAGACCUAAGCGGAUUAGUUAAGUAGUGACAGCAAAGAGAUAGGGAAUGCAAGGGACAAUUAGAAGACUGGCUACCCGAAACACGGGAGUGGAAGUAAUAAGUACAAGAACCUGGCUACCUAUUAAUAAGACUAAACCGAAAGCAUAUAGUAAUGAGAGAGCGCAGUCGCAGUUUUCUGCUAUAACUAAAGAGUUCAAGAAGCAAUACGGAGGCUUAAGGUAAAGAGUAGAGGACAACAACUCAACAGUCGGAAUGAAAGCAAAGCAUACCAAGAGUGAAGGUCAAGGUAGUUAGAAUCAAGGCAAGGAUGGUUAUAAUGAGAAAGGAGAGCGAGAGGCGGUAAUCAAAGACAAAGUAGGCUCAGACUCCAACAGCAGAUCGGGAAUUCGAAUAAGUAGUUGAUGUUUGAAACUACAACACUAGUAAGCGAAACUGGAACACAGGAGUUUAGGGAACAACUAAAAGAAUGCAAGGCAGGAAUGUCAGGGCAACAUAAGAUAAUAUGUGAUGGUCGUGUCGGGUAUUUCGAAUUCAAGCAAAGAGAGGCGGGCUACGAAAUAGUUUAGUCAAAUAAGAUCCUAGGGGCGAUGGGAGGGUAAUACUUUGGAGUUCGUAGUGGAAGGCCUAUACGCUUAAAUACAAGAGUUAGAGGAAGGGGUUCAAGACCUAGUUAUUAGUUCAAGUAGUGUUGGGCGCCAGUUUGAGUUUGAGUUCCCCGUUAAAGUAAUAGAAGCACUGGUUGGUUAUAGGCUCAUAAGCUAAUAAGUAAGUAAGGAUCCGGUUCAGCAACUAAUAGCCCUCAAAGAAGUGGAGCGGGCCUGCCCCCACAAACGACUAUUCUUAUGAAACUACAAAUCAGUCUGCCCUUCCUCACUUACUUCCUCUAGUCAACGAUUGAAACAGACUUGACUGUCUACUAUACGGGUCUACCCUGCCUUGCUUGUUAGUUCGAGCCUAUCUCGCCUAAAUCUUAUUUGUCAUAUCAACAACUAGAUCUUUCUGCCACAUAUCCAUGCGUUAACACAUAGGUUCUAUUACUAUAAUGGAAUUACUAUACGAAAACACAUGCUAUUAUUAUAUAUCAUAUGAAAACGUUAGAGUCAAUAGUGGGUGCCAAGGGAAUGCUGCGCUACCUUAUUCAUUAGAAUCAGAAAAUGUAAGUAAACCCUGUCUUACUUACUAAGUAGUCAAUCUUUUACUCACCGGCAGCAUAAAGCCUUAUUCAACAGCAGUCCACGCCUUACUAUAUCUAUACAUUUCCAAGCCUUCCCUUAAAUCAUUUCACUCUCCAGCUGAUUACUUGUAUUUUUUGACUACCUGAUCCCGGGUCCUUUCACCCAAACUGACAUUGCUUUACCUGAUUCUUAAUACUCUUACGCCCUUCCCCGUGGCUAGCUCCUCAAACAAAUAACGAGUUUUGUUAGCUGGGUUUCUACCCUUGUAUGCCUGAGCUCAAUUCGCUAGGCAGUAGUCAAUUCUUCUAUAUUCACUAGUUCGACUCCGCCUCUAUGGGCGCUGUAUCCUAUUCUGAAUAUAAGUAAUAUAAGUAAGUAAACAAAAAGAGCGUAGCUAAAGUGUGUUCUGGACUUCCCCUACUGCCUACGAGGCUUGCUUUCCCGUCUCUAAGCCCCACAGCUAUAGGCACCAACCUCUACUUGUUCUUUCCAUGCCUAUGCUCCAGCUAAAGUAUUAACUACUGAGUUGAAACCGAGCCUAGAGCAAUUAACGUAUUACUUCCCCACGUAUCUAAGGCUCUUACUCUGGGUCCUUUUUUCUUCUUGUAUACCGGGCAGUGGGUUUGUAUUGCUCCCUAAAGUCACCAGAACGGAUGAAGGGCUAUUACUAACGACUUUCAUCGCACAACUCACUUAUUUCUGUGAUUUAGACCUAACCCCGCUUCGCUCAAGUAAGCUUCUUUGAGUGCUGCCCCAACUCUUCUUUAUCCUUUUUGCAAAUCCAGUUUAUACAUCUGAUCCUCCUCUUUGCUUUUACUACUCAACCUUAUACUUGUUGGUAUCUUCUUUAUGGACUUUAGGCUUAUGCUGCCUUAACUCAAGAUAGGGAAUGGAGCUACUCACUAUAGGCCUGUAACUACUGAUAACCAUUCUCCAUCUAUUGAUCAAACUAAAACUGCUUACUCGCAUGACCUUUCUCUUGUUUUGAAACUAAUAGUAAGUUAGCCUGCCUCUACUGGUUAUAAUUCCUAAACUCCGGGUAAUGAUCUAGUGCAUCUAAUCAUAGGAAUAGGUCUAAGAGCACUAAGCAACAAGGCAACAAGAAAAAUCAGUAAUAUGACCAAGAAUAAUAAGUAUAAUAAGUAGAAUAUUACAUAGAACCAAACUCUGUAUUAUAAGAAUUGAGGUACAGCCCAACGCAUAUAGGUAUAAGAACGUUCCACAGAGAAUAUGGAAGUGAACUCAGCCAGCAGCCAGCAGCUGACGCUGACCUUGCUUCACCGGCGUAACAAUCUUACCUCCACCCGGGCAUAAUCCUACUCGUUAGCUGCGUUCCUCUCUUAGGCUUACUCCCUUCUCUAAGUUUCUGGUUCCUGCCUAUCCGCCUGUCCCCCACACUGCUGACUUCUAUUCUUUAACUAAUAGAACCCAACCUUUUACCUCCUCUUUUCACCUAUGAAGCCUGCUACUAUUGAAUGCAAUUCUGGAGUGAUGCUGCCAAACCCCCACAAUAAUAUCGUACUUGAUUCCAUCUAUAGAGUUCCAUUCCAUGCCCUACUCCUUUAUGCUUAGACUAAUAAGCUCCAGUCUGAUACUCGGAUUUGUUCUUCGGAAACAACUGCAGUAAUAACUUCUUAAUAACUAAUAUAUUAGCGGACCUGCCUUGCUUUAAGUCUAUCUUUUCUUUCUUCAAUGCCUUAGUUCAUUAGCUUCAUCUUAAUUCUUCUGUUUACUGACAUCAAUUAUUCCUUUCUCAUAUGAUAACAAAACGGGCUUUCUGUUUUAGAUAAAGGAGUGGACUAGUGAAAAGGUGAAGUCAGAACGGAACCACACUCUGUAUUAGUAGAAAGAAGUAAGGGACGUGCCCUACAAUACAAGAAAGAAUAAGAAAAACGGAAAGAGUUGAAUCACUGGUAGCGCAUCCACUAAGAGAAUAAUAGCUGUAAUCAGAUAUUAGAAUAAUUGCAGUAAUCAUAAGAACGGAACCCGGAGGCACAGUGAAAGAACGAAAUGAGUACAAGUAAGGCUGUUGGGUAGCAUUUUCAAAGAGUGCUAUAAGUAGUUCGAGGCUAAGGUGUAGUAAAGCCAGGAUGGGGAUCCGCUGUUAGAGAACGCAGGGAGGGAGUCACAAACAGACCUAUACCCAAACCCAAACAUAGGAGGAGGAAUGCAAGGACUAUUAUCAGAAUUGAGCACAUAACUCGAGAGGAACUAAGCACAUAAGAUAGCCUGCCCUUCUGAACUCUAAACCUGAUGCUGCUUUCUCUUAUUUGGAAACCUUGAACAAUAGGUUAGUAGGGCGUAUAUCAACUCUCAUAAGAAGGGGCUAUUUCGGCUAGUUACUAUUAGAAUGGGGCUGGUGCCUUGCCUAUAAGACAGCAAACAGUGCUUCCAAGCAUUAAACACAGAACCGACUUACUGAUAAUCAGAAUCGAUCUACCGACAAACAGGCCAAAGAGCUACUGCUUCCAAGACAACAACCACUGCUUAUAGGACUUACCCCGGAUCGAACAGCCACUUAUGAGAAUGGAGUAAUUGGCAAACAGGCUCUAACUACUGAUCCAGAUCUUCACUUGUGUGUUGGGCACGUUGCCUAGUACUAAAGCAAUAUAAUCAAUAUAAGUAAACAGAAUCAUAUCAAUAAUACAGAAUUCAUAUCAAUAAUAUAAGAUAACGGAAUUGUUCUCAUAACUCGAGAUUGAACUUAUUAGCCCUCUCUUUCUCCUCGGUAAACCAACACAACACCCCUCGCUUUCGUUCUUCAACGAUAAUGAAUUCCAAUUCUUCGGCUCCUUACCCGCAUUCUGUAGUUCGAGAGUGACUCUGCCUAUCCUCUAAAUGAUUCUGACUGUCCUAUCUCUAUGUCUCCCGCUCCUUUCCCUUAUUCCUAUGUUCAAUUAUUCAUAUGACAUUACCUUCUCUUAGUUCCAAUCAAUAGUGAGUCCGCCUAUCCACUUUGACUCCCCUUAUUAUUAUUAUAUUAGAGACUUUCCUCCACCCCGCUUUUAGCUUGCAGCCCCGACUAUUCGUAAUAAGUGAGAGGCCUCUCAUCUGAUCAACUCACUAUUCCUAGACAGGGAAAGCUGGCAAAGCAAAGAUACGACUUCCUGCCAUUGGAACGAAGCAAGAGGACAAGAAAGAACCGAGGUAAAGACACCUGGCGAACCAUAUCCACACGCUCCCGCUAUACGACAACAACAUAAGGACAAGAGGAAAGAGCUAGGAAUGUACCAAUGGAAAGAGAGCACCGGCAUUGCACCUUACUUGAACCACUUGGCCCGCAGGGGCCCGCCAGGGAGAGCCAACCUUCAAGGAUCUCUCCGGAUGCCCGUAUCCUGAUAGCCAAGAUUGGAUGCCGGCGGAACCUGUCUGGGCCUUACACGAAGUCACUUCACUCGCGGACAAAAAAGAAAUGGAACCUCACAAGCCAUAGAAAAAAUAGGCUACUUCGACUCCUAGACAGAAGAAGAGAGAGUAGGAAUGCAUCGACAGCUGGGCGUGUGGUCUUAGUAUAUUCCUACUUCAACCAACCCGACUUCGAAGAAUCAAAAGCACAGACCGAAGCAGACGGAAUAGAAUAAGAAAAACGCUCGUAGUCUUACCCUCGUUCUCCGAACCAACUUACCAACUUCAGGUAAUAGACCUAAAGAAAGAAUAGACCUGCUAAUGGAAGGCUAACGUACCGAAUAGAAGGCUUGCAAUCCUAUUUCUAAAGAGAAUUCCAGUAGUCCUCUCUAAAGAGAAUCCAAGUUUGAUCUCCCGGGUCGUGCCAGUUAGACAGGAAGAAAAGAGAAAUACCUUCCUUCAAGGAACAAUCAAACUAGAAGGUUCUUUCCAUUUUCUGAAACAUGCUAUCAGAGAACGAGCUUUAGAAUCCUGCUCUCUCUACCUGCUGACUGCUAGCUUUAGAAUCCUGCUCUCUCUACCUGCUGACUGCUGGCUCCAUCUAAAUCAAAGAAUGUGGACAAACCACUUAUGUAAGUAAGUAACCUGACUGCUAUUAAUUAUCUUAUAUCUAUUUCUGUAUCCAACUCAAGAAAUGUGCCCAGCUCAGGCAUUCUAUCUGUGCCGAGUAGUGCUUUCCCUUAACUUAAUGAGUAGUGGCCUUUCCUUUGCUUGCUUAGCUUUCCCCUGUGUAUAAGAAGCGGUUAAUAAGUGUUGGCUAAAGUCAGCAGAAGAAUUGCCAGUGAUAGUGACAGGUGCAGAGUCCAAAUAAUCCAGAAAGGUAAGCAGUAGAAAAGUCAUAAGUGGUAAGCUAAGCUGGACAGAAAGAAGUUGUUUCAUCCCAUAUAAAAGAAGAAAGAAAAAGAGCAUCAUAUCUUUUCGAAUACCCAAUACACUACACGUAGCGGUUAAGGCAAUUCAUUCUGUUUGUCUUUAAGGUUAUGUUUAGAAAGUAUAGAGCCAGGAGUGGAUAGGUGAGUUAAGGUAAAGAUCCAAGAUGCUGCCCUUAAGUUAAUGGGUAAAGUAGAAAGGAAACAGGCGCAAGAAGUCCUUUACUUAAGGUCUAGGCCGAGCAAGCCCCACAAGUUCUGUUGAUUCAAAAGGUUGAGUUGAUAUGAUUCCGGGGUGCUCUUAACCAAGUUCCGUCUCAUACACUCCAAAUUCAUUUCUGGAACGGGGAAGAUCAGAUGAUAGGGAAACCCCUACCCUCUUGGUUUCGAGAUCCUAUAUGGAACCAUUUGAACGUCCAUUCGGGCCUCAUUCUCUUCUCCUCACGUUUCAGUCAGAGCUCCGAAAUGACUUUGCCUCAUAAACCAGCACUUAAUCCUAAUCGCCCGUUAGCUAGCCCUACUUUUCUUUUGACUCGUAAAAGGCAGUUCAAUCCCCUUUUCUACUUUUAUACAAUAUAUUCCAUCCACUUUCCAUCCACUUUUCGAAUUUUCUACUAUGAUAUAUGGAACAACUAGGCCAACAACUUGACUUAGCCAUUCUUCGGAUCAAACACCCCUUCUCCUGCCGAAGUGCCAAACUACGGGAACUGGUUUUACCUCACUCCGCUCGCCCACCAUGGAGUUCUGAAUGAAGCUCUUUCCCGCGCAGGCAAUAGCACUACAUUGUCCCCAGCUUAUCAAUUCCAACAAGAAUAGGUCACUUUGCUGAGCGGAACAAACGAAUGAAUGGGUAAAAGCUCUCGCCUUACCGGGGUAAAGAAGGGUCUCCGCAUUUGAAACUCAACCCCUCGGACCACUUUCCUUCCAUACCCAUAGGACCAAGGGCUCGUACCAACCUAACUCUUUUAAGACACCGGGCUCUUCACGAAAACAGAGCAAAGGUGCUCCUUAACAACCUGAGCCACAUCCGCCCAUGGUGGGCAAUCCCAUCAGUUCUCAGUUCUUUGGAUUCAAUUCUAUCCAAAAGAAAGGGCCCAGGUAGCCUAACAAAUGCGUCUUCCGCUAUCUUAUCUAAUUCAAAACCACGGUCACUUCCACUUGCCUAGCUGAUAAAACCACUGUCUCAGUAGCUUCCUCUGGAACAGCAGCGUAUAAAACAAAUAAUAAACAAAGAUGUGAGAGCUUGAUAUACCUAAGCUAAGGGUUCUCGUCACAAUGAUUAGAUUUCUUUUCAAGCAAGAGUAAUUCAUUCCUUUUCGAUAAACAAAAGUAGGCCGUUUUUAGUAAAGUAAUAUAGAGUUAUACAAUUGGAGUAAUAUAGAGUUAUACAAAUAAGAGUGUCAUUCCUUUCGAGAAAAUGCCCAUCACGCCUCUGCUCUGACAGUCCCUUCAUGCACUGAUUCCCGUCAAGCACUCGUGGUGGAGAGUCGCGUGCCACUCACUGUGGUUGCAUCCGAGUUUUGGUGGAACCUCGCGUCCCUGCGCCUCACUCAUAAGGUAAGGUAAGGGCUGAAGAGGGGCUCGAUGAGGAAGAUCUACUUCUAAUGAGCCUGUGUCAGUGGUUGGACAAUUGAGACCAGUAGUUUGGACAGUGGAAGUGGAAAUGCAAUCCCAAUCUGAAUCUGUCGAAUCCGAAGCCUCGGUGGGGCAUUUUGAGUGUCUAAGGGCUCAAGUGAAGUUGGCAAUCAGAAGCAACGACGGUGGGGGCUCUCACUCAAUAACGGCGUGCAUACUAGGUCCCUAAAGGCGCUUGUGGCAACCCUUCACACAGAGCAGAGCAAUAGAAAGUUCCCCGCCCGGAGAAGCGAGAUCUACUGUGGUAGGAUUUAGUUCUAGAGUUUCUACUAGUUAUCCGGGUGAAAUGUAAAUCAAUUCAUAUUCGAUGCCUUGACUUGAGUUUGGGAUUCAUUCGAACCAAAAUGAACUACCCCAUUACAAUAGGGUGACGGGCUGCCAAUCAGAUUGACUUUGUGCCGUUACGUAUUUGCCUUGGCGUAUAUCAUAUACGGCUCGGGGUAGAUGGCAGGCAGUCCUAUAAGUAUAAGUAUUGGUUUAGUCCAGAGUAAGAUCAUACUGUUAUUGGUCUUGGUUUUCGUCCAGUAAGAUAUAUAGGAGAUAUGGGUCUCGGUUUUCGUCCAGUAAGAUAUAUAGGAAACUUUUCUCUCAGAUGAAUACCGUUCUGUUAGACCCGAGCGACUAUGACCAGGAGGAGAGCUCAAGUAAGUGGCAGUAUAAGCUUAUUUGGAAGGUAAUGAAGAAGUGGAAGAAAGGAUGAGUGGAGAACGACUUGAGUUUUGGAUUUAGCAGCUCCAAGUUCAUAUUAGGCCUUGUGCUUGUUCGCUCAUCAAGGAGACCUACGAGUACGUCUGUGACUUGAGUUUGGCGGGCCUUCCGCUAGCCCCAUAGAGAAAAGCUUUUACCUGGAACACCCUCAUGCUUCCACUUUGACUGCCGUUUGCUCCCAUUGAAGCGUUUGCUCGCCUCUUUACCUGGUCCGGUCGGACCUGGUGGGAACUACUACAUGAGCUUAGAAACGAGAAAAAGGAAAUGGGCUCCCCUGCGACAAAGGAAGCGAAUUUAGCACUUAACCCACACCGACUUUUGUAAGAUACCAAUCAGGGGCUUAUUCACGUCUGGUAUUAAUGUAACGUAACGGGCAGGCAGCGCUCACUACUUCGUGCUUCAAUUGACACCUCUUCCCGACUCACGUCAGAGAGCCUCCUCACGGACAACACAACGGCUAGAAGAGAGGAAGUAAGAAAGAGGGACAGCUAACACACUGUUGAAAACAAAGGUAGUUAGUUUGGGCUUCGCCAUCACCUUACUUACUGAAACACACUCCAACUUAUACUAAUCAAAUAUUCCAGUAUUUAGAACAGCUAGGUACCGGAGCCCCAGAGUGAAGGACACCUUUUUAGUAUUAUGAUUAUUCGAUUAACUUCAAGCCAACUGAACCAAACCUAACUUAUUAUUUGGAUGAAACAAAGACUGUAACUGCCGAGUGCCCUAACAUUGAUUUGACUCCCGGCUUAGCAUAGAGGACCAACGACCUUACGUCUCCAACCGAGUUGUUAGUUUUUUGGUAGUCCACUUAAGAGCGAGAAUCAUGAUACUCAAGGGGCGGGUUCUCUGGGUCAGCAACGGACCCUGGCUUUCCUUUCCUUAAGUUGAUAUUGGCCUAUAAGAAAGAAAGAGGAUUUUGGGAACAGUUUGUAAAGUCAAAACCUGUCUUGCGUAGGACAAGAUUGAGCGGAAGAAGCCGGCUUGUUGCAACCGUGACCCAUUCUAGAGAAGCCAUGAGUCAGUUUCUCUAUGCACUUUCUCACUGGAUUACCAAAGAAAGGUGAAAGGAUUUUGGGUCGAUUACCUUACGGCGAUAAAGGAUUAGACGGUUCAUUUGGAAGCCUUUGGAAUCUUAUUCUUUCAAAUAUACAGAAGUAGUCGAUGACUAAAAGAAAAGGUGCUGAAAGCCUAAGGCAAGGGGUCAGGGUAGUCUACGAAUUGUUGGUCCUGACUAAUGGCGGAGGGAGAGCGUAGCAGGAACUUUCUUUCCUGGUUGUAAGGUCGGUCUAUAAACCAAUAGAGGUCAGAGUUUCGAAAAUCCCCGAGAAGUGUGGUGUAUGGGAAUGGAGAAGUAAGCAUUCGAGUACAUUGUUGCAGACGCCUAAAAAGUGCAAUCACCCACCGACAUUUGCAUAAGAAUAAUCCGAUGAAAUCAUACAUAGCAUAGGUGCAUCUUACCUAAGAACCAGAGUAUAGGGCCGCUCUUUCCCAAUCCGAACCAGCUGAAUAGGCCUAUGUAGGGUCGUAAGGCUUCCUUCAGUGAGUGCGUAAACAGAAACUCUUUAAGAUGCCGAAUCAGAAGAAUCAGCUGAAACUAGAGAAAGAGAAGUGUAUAAGCAAAGAAUCCGAAGACGCAUAGGAACCCCAAUCACCUAAAGCAUAAGUAUUCAUCCGAUAACGCCACUGGUUGCCGUUGAUGGCCGUUGCAACAGCCCCGUGAGAACAGAACAAAACGGAUUGCUUAUUGUUUCUAUGAGUCGACAGGAGAAGCACCGCUCAAAGGAACUUUAGCUAGGUCAUUUUUACCUUGUUUUAUGAAGGUAUUUAGUACUCGAAGGAAAAAAACCUCGAAACCGGGUUGUAGCUUAUGGUGCUUUCUUCCCUUCCUAUUAAGCCUUUUACUAUUAGCUUUUUGACCUUGUUUUCCGAAGAUAGCAGCAAUCCCCCUUUUUGAAAAAAAGUAGAUACAUAAAGUAGAAAGGUAUGGAAUUGUUCUUAGCUUGGCGCGCUUGCUUCCCUCUAAAGAAGCCCUAACGCUUUGAAGUCUUAGGUUAAUCACUCCAUUCUUUCCGUACCGACCUGACCUCUCUCGAAGCAGUAUUUCCCUGAGCUGCAUAUCAAGUUUCUUACGAACUAACAUAUCUUUUGUCUCCUGAACCAAAGGAUCCCUUUUCUCCCGCUCCGCUUUUUCCGAAUCAACAUCUAAUUGUAGCUAGGUCAGUCAUAGGGUUAUUUCCAGUCUAGUCUAGAAUCAACACCAAACUAAGCUAAACCUUAACUACGUAAAAUCUACCUGUGAAAAGCUGCCAAGGAAGGAACCAAAGCGCUAGCUACUCUCCGAAAACUAGCUGCAGUGAAAGGCGACUUGAGAGUCAGAAGUGGAGAAGGAAGCGACAAGUUCCUCAGAUAGGCACGGACACUACCCAUUAGGGGUACUAAGCUUUCCCCGGGCAGAAGUCUAGCUCCAUUUUCCAUGUUGAGCAAUGCCGAUACUGCGCGCAUGCUGAUAAACAUAAAAGAACACUUCUGCUUUAAGCUAUAGCUAGGUCGGAGCCCCUUUCUCAUAAAGUGGAGUCUCUUCUUUCUUUCCCCAGUUACAGAGGAUUGACUAACCCCAUGGAUAUGUUGUCGAGGAUUGACUAACCCCAUGGAUAUGUUGUCGAGGAUUGACUAACCCCAUGGAUAUGUUGUCAUCACAUUUAGCUCCGCCUGUUAUAGCAAGCAAGCAAAGCCUACUUCCACUUUGUUGGGAGAGAAAUCCUUCCCCUAAUGCUAUUUGAUCAGCGGAUCAUAAAUGAGCCCAGCUUGGCGAAACUCCACCGUGAAAUAUGCGGGUAGCUCUUCACGAAAGAUUGUUGGCAUGCCUCCCAUAAGAAGGCGGAUAAGGAAACCCAUGAGAGCGCCUUGUCUUGUUCGAAUCUUUUUCCUAAAGAAAGAGCAAUCGAUUACUAUACUAGUGCAUGCAAACUGCAAUCUUAUAGAGCACCUUGAUCCUAUUGAAAAGAAAGGGCUCAGGCGAGAGGGCCUAAGGGUUAAUAAGAGUUCAGAGAAGGUUGGAUCCGGGAAGGCUUAUAAGCCCGAGCGAGGGUUGGUUUUGAACCCUGCAAAAGCAAAUGAAUUCGAUUCCGAGAUGAUAGGUUGGGGCUGGCUUGGAAGGCUAUUUUGCUACAGGGGAUGAUUAAGCGAUAAGAGGGAAACCACACUUUUCUUUCUCCCGUUUGUUUGUGGAUUUCCAAAGAAGAAGUAAGUGUAAUCGAGUAAACAAGCAAAUAAGAUCUGAUGCUUCUAGAUUUCUACCGUUUGUUUGUGGAUUUCCAAAGGAUAAGUCAGUGUAAUCGAGUAAACAAGCAAAUAAGAUCUUCCCUUAGAGCCAGGAAAUAAUACAAUGGGAAUUGGAGUCGCUUUUUCCUCUUUUUCAAUAUAGCUUGGGGUAUUAUUUCUAUUAGUAUUGUCCCACUGUUGCUAGUUGCAUUAUUGGUGGAAGGCUAAAGAAAAGAGGCGGUGUAGCGAGAUGACUUGGAGUGGAGCCUAGACCUUUCAUAAGGAUUGGUUUAUUCCACGUCUUUGGGUCCGGUGGUCACAGGGAAUCUUGAAGCGGCUAAGGAGUGACUCGGGAAAGGGAGAAUAGUUACGGCUAAGGAGUGACUCGGGAAAGGGAGAAUAGUGACUAAAGGUGCGGUUUGGAAGGUAAGGUCGGGUCGGCCACCUCUAUAUUCUCUUUUGACAUUCCAUCACCUCGAGGAGGAGUAAAUAGCAGCAUUCCGUUGGAUAGUUUUCGGGUGUUAAGGUUAAGAAAGACAUUGAAUCGAGGUUGGAUUGACUGGCUAGCUUGGGCUAUCCUAUCAACGAAUAAUUCCUUUCCCUUACUUAACGAGGAGAGAGAACCCUCAAAUAAGCUAACGAAAGUCAUUCUAUAGUAGCCUUGAUUCCGGCAACCACAAAACCGAGCGAGGGGGACUUCCAUAAGGCUAAGGAAAAAGAAGACCACGUGUCGGAGACCAAACGAAGUCAAGACAGUAAAGACAAAGAGUAGCGAGAGGCAUUUCUCCUUGGUCUUCUUCUCUUCUCCGAUUAGGUAAAGAAAAGCUUGUUCGAAUCGAGUCAGUGUUCAUAAAAGAAAGGACAGUUAUUUCACCGCACGCAAAGGCUGUAAGAGAGAACUAGAUUGCUUCUUUGACAAGCCAGAUGGGUUAUUUAAUCAAAAGAGAAAAUACACAAGUGUUGUGAAAAGAAAGUGAGAGUCUUGCUGGAAUAGGUUGUUUAUUUAAUAUAAGAGCUAGCUAAAGCCCCCGAACUGGGCGAACAAACCAACUUGGGCAUUGCCAAACCAACCCCGCGUCUCCCAGGGCUUCCCUUUCCCCAAUAAGAAUGCAUGAUGCUUAUUUCCUGUUUUCUUUCUACUAGCACAUGGAUCGUGAUAACUCUCUUUCUUAUAGAAUGAGGGGCAGUUUCCCUUAGAGUAAUGCGUAUGACCAGACGGAAGCUGAUGAAUGGUUGUCGACUCUGAACGUAGUUCAUGGCACGGUUCCCCCGACCCCGCACCAUUACUGGCAGGCGGCAUAAAGAAAGCCCCAAUCCGCAAGGCUCUUAGCACCUCUUUGGGUUUCAAUUCAUUCUGAACUUCAAUAGCAUAGCCAGAGUAAGCGGAGCAAGUCCCUUCCUUGAUAAGCAGAGAAAGGAUCAAAGAGAAGAAUCUCCGUGGUGAGCAAGCAGUAGCCGAACAAUCCAAAGGAGGUACUAGGAUUCUUGGUAAGAUUGAACUACAUUGCGCAUCCCACAGCUAACUGCAACUUGUGAGCCUAUUUUGAAGCUACUAAAGAAGAGAACAGCCCUUCCAAGUGGGAUGAGGAGUGUAAGGAGGCGUUUGACAAGAUAAAGUAGUCUUUGAUAAAUCCACCUGUUAGAUCUCCUCCGUCUCCGGGGAAGCCCCUACUGCUGUACCCUUUAUUGACAGAAUAACUUGUCUUUGUUAUCAGCCUGGAGUUUUUGUAUAGUGCUGCUAGGAGAGCUCACUAAGACUAGGAGCGGAUUCUAUACCAGUCACAGCGUAUUCUGGGCAUCAAUGCACUAACUCCUUCGCUUAUUCACCCUUAACCUCGUUCUUGGUUACGCGCGCCGUCUACUCUGUGCAUACACUAGGGCUCUCAAAUGGUCGACUGCGAAACACCUUGUCCUGGAAUUCAUUCGAUUUCUAUUUCAUAUUCCCCUUGUUCCUUGGAAAAGAUCUUCUUAUUUAUUAUAUAUUAAUAUGGAAAGAUCUUCUUAUUUAUGACUUAUAGAAUAAUAUGGCUGGAAAGCCUGAGUAAACAAAACAAGACAAGGGAAAAGCAACACAAGUAAAGAUUGAUGUAAUUGCAAGGGUGCUAUAAACCCCCGGCUUACCAGAGUUCGUAAAGUCAUUAAGAGUUCGAUCGAAACUGGGAGAGUUAAGGCCGUUAAAGUUCAUAUACUCAUAUGUAGAUGUAGUGCUUUUCAAAGCCGACUGAUAUUGAUAUAUAAGAGAGGCUGAAGCUAUUGCCUUGCGAUGAUCAUCUUCGGUGGAUCGAACCCAUACUAACAAGCUGCAGUUAGGAGCUCCGGCAGAAAUAGGUGAGUUGGGGUAGAUUUAAGCAGGGGCAUGAAUAGAUCGUGCUUGCACCGGACAGAGAGGCUGGUAUACAGAGGGAAUCUCUUGUGAUAGAUGAGCCGUAGUCCUGGGACAUGAGUCGAGAGGUACUCUAACCUAGCCAUAUGGUUGGGGUGGCAGAGAAGUCAGAGUGCAAUUGGAGACUUCACGACCCCGGCGUCAAUCCUGGCAGCAAUCCUUCAGGGAAUCUAUUACACUCAUUCUAUCAAUGACUCGCCUUAGAUAGCAUCUUAGAUGGCUGAGCCCUUAUUGAAUGAAGCAGGGCUUGACUCCACUCCUUCCCUCCUAUCUUGAGCCUUGACUCCACUCCUUCCCUCCUAUCUUGAGCUUUGAAGCCAGAGUUAGCGUACUGAUAGUGGGGCACUACGGAUUGAUAAUAAAGAUAUGAAAAGACGGAAACUACAGCCUUCCUUUGAUUUUAUGGUUCAAUACCUUCUCUGGCCCAUGAAACAAGAUUGGAAUUGAACCGCUCUAAGCCAACAAAGAUUUCUUACCUAGCUUCAAAGCCUGUAAUUGACUCUGCUACUUACUAUAUGGGCCCGACCCGAACUCCUCUCUGCUAACAGAAUGAGGCUCCUCUCCGGUAUUUCACUAACAAAGCUACUACUAGCAUUCCUAACAAAGCUACUACUGUUCCACUCUAACUCAGAACUCGGGAUUCCACAACUACAUUAAUCGUAAAGGGCAGUCCGCUGAGCUACACUUCCCGCGCGCAACUCUCAAUCUGGUCUUAAAGCCAACUACUCUGUUGCUACUAGAUUCUUCUUAUUUCCCCAACUCGUUAACUGGGGAUGAAACUAGAACAGACAAAUACAAAUAUGAAGUAGACCUCGCUUCAAAUCAAAUACCUGGAAGACGAGACAGAAGUAGAUCUCGCAUCAAAGGCAUCGCAGCUGACGCUGCCCUCGCAUCAAAGCAAGUCAGAUAGUCUGCAACUUACUAGAAGGGCUUCUCUACUUCCUCUUUGAACUAUCACAAGAACAGGACUCCCGGAGACGAACAAAGGACUUGAAGUGCGGACUACCGAAGUCAACUAAUUCCGAUUUCUUACGUACACUCCGAGCCUUACUAUGAAGCUUCCAACUCGCGAUGCAACUCUCACUUACCCUGGACUACCGGGCAAUGAAAUAAGUGUCAUCUACUAUGAAUGAAACGACCCCUAUACCGAUCCCUAUCCAUACGCGCCUACCCGAGUAAGUAAACUACUAAGUCAGUAAACCAACCGACCCGACCCUAGUAUAGGAAUUCCACUACUACGGAGAAGGUAUCAAACAAAAGUAAGGUUAGCAAACAACCAAUAAGGGCCUCUACAUUCCUUCCCACACCCCCACUCGGCAGCAUCUGAUAUGGCCAUGCAUUCUGAACCCUAUUCUUCUAAUUCCACACCCCCGACCUCGUAUUGGAAUGACACAAGCCCUACCCCCUAACAAGACACGCCUACCCAUACCCAUACUAGGCACCAGUGGAUUGGAUCUUAAGUCAACAAAUCAUGAAACAACUCUCCCUUUAUCUGAAGCAACAAAUCAUUUCUUAUCUUGCGCUGAAGUGCCUACGUUAGCCUCAUCUUUCGAGCAGAGAGAUCUUACCAACAGUUGGACCACUCCCCGGGCCGGGCGCAACUAAUUCAUAUGGAAAUGGAACGGAUCUGCAUAUAUAGUAGGAAAUGCAACUCAAGUAAUGGAAACUACAUCCCUUUUGUCGACCUAAACAGAACUUUAAUAAUCUACAAGCCAAUACACCGACAGAUUCCACUCGCGAUUAAACUCAUUGACAACGCGCUGAGGAAACCAGUACUUUUGAGUCCUUUAACGCAAGUCAAGCUGGCUGAUAUACUCCCUAUAAGUUCACGCUUAUGCUUUUCUUCGCUUUAGAUCUGACUUACUUAACAUGCAUUUCAGAUUGAAGAGAAAUCCGGAAUCAAGCCGAUGAUAAGAAGUGGAUCUUCUUUAUGAGUUGCUUCGACAGAUAGCAAAGACUUCUCACUUAUAAGUCAAGUAAAGUAAAAGACUUCUCACUUAUAAGGAUAGUAAUAUUUCACGAGCGAGCUAAGCAAAUUCCAAUGAAAUAGCUGCCCCUCGGAGUCACUUUUCAAGGUUUUUAUAGUCAAGUGAUUUAGAAUAAGUUCGGAUAUAGGAUAGCCGAGUAAGCAAGCGCAUUCAGGGGCAUAGGAUAGCCGAGUAAGCAAGCAUUCGGGGGCAUAGGAGUGGAAUUCUGACCUUUGAGUUCACCCCGACCUCUCCUCUAACUCUAAACUCCUGCUGACCACUCCUGUUCGUUUUCAACCUUCAUUCUUAUCCAAUAACUCCCGGCUCAGCUAACUCAGGCUCAGAUCAUCUCUUUGAACUCUUUCUCCUCUCUUACAAAUAUACCUCCAUCUGUUCUCUUCUCUUGCUCAUCUAGCUAUGUCAACUAGUCCGCAUUUUGCCUCUGUCUCUUAUCCUCUACCUCUGUAAACUGCCAAGCGACUAGGCAAGUCCUGUUUAUUAGGGUUCUUUAUUAGGGUUCUCUUGCCGAAACUCACAAUAAGGGCCCGAGCUAACUCGAUCUUACUUACCGACCUCGACCUGGAACAGGCAAUUCCCCAGGCCAAGCUACUUACUAGACACUCAAUCCGGGCCUAGCUACUACUACUUCAAUCUGUUUCUUAUUUACCGCAAGCUGCUGGAUCCCGAGCGCAUAGCAAGUAAUAAAUACAUUAUCACAGCCUUUGGGAGUGCUUAUUUAGCCUAUGGCAACUUCCAACUAUUAACAGAAUUAGGCUAAUCUCACUCUUUCUCCUCUCCAAUGGAAUACCUCUGGCUCAUAUUCCUUAAUUCUUAUCCAAUAACUCUGGCUCAUCUAACUUCAAUCUGACUUGCUUCAUGAGGCUCUCUUCUCUUCUUGCCUUCAUCUCUUCUUCGGAGAAUUGAGACUUUAGUGACUUGGCCCGAUCAUCUAUAAUAAGAGUGGAAUUCAUAGUUGCUAGCUCAGCUCCUGAUACUGGAAAUUCUCUACUCCAAGCAUGGUCUCGAGCCGCUCUAAGACAACUACUACAGUUAUUGCUCUCAUCUAAUCUAAUAUCAAUACUACAGUUAUUGCUCUCAUCUAAUCUAAUAUCAAGUCCAGGUCCAGUAUCACAGUUGACUUUGGAACUCACUCCUACUGUUGCUCACCUAGUAACUUCCUUCUGGGAAUCGGUGGGCAAGGGAAGCUAAGCUAUAAGUACUUCAGUGAAGAAUUGAACGACUAACGACCAAGCAACGACUAUACCUCUUACCUAUUAGUUCCCCCACUUUCAGUUAGUUCUUACCUUAGACACAAGCACAAUCACCUCCCUCUCUAAACCUACCCGCCAAGCGACUCCUCAUGUUACGCGGCAGCAACAAAUGUACUCUAGUUGACUACCCGGUAAGAAUAGGGCUCCAAAUUCAUUAUUUACCAAAUUCUUAUAUGUUUUUAGAAGAUUGCCCAUUUCCACUAAUAAACUGGCCGGAUAAUGCAUUUCUUCCUAACAUCCUUAGGGUUCCCUUCGAGCUCGAGUAUAGCUUAUUUCUGCCAGACUUAUUUAAUGGUAGAAUCUUAUGUUCGAGUGAAAUCUUAUAAGGAAGUAGGUAACACCCAGGAUAGUUGAUAGGGAGUAUUUAUGGGCCAUUAGACCAGACCUAGCCCCUGAUUCUGUUGAUGACAGUAAACCCUUAUUCUGUUGAUAAAGCUUCUUCACCCGAUCCUGACUCGUUGCUAUAAACCAUAUUCUAUUGACUUCCAAACAAACUCCCGACUCGUUGCUAUAAACUGCUUCCUGCUAUAAUCCCACGGACUAAGAAGACAUAUCUCUUUUGAAUGCCCACUAUGUUAAGGGAAGAACAGAAUCAAGAUCAGAAACAUAAGCAAGAUCGGGCUUUGAAGAAGGAAUUGAUGAAUAAGCCUAAGAUGGAAAGUAGGCUGUCAUAUUUCUGACUACAAGUCGAGUUAGGAAGUCUGCUGUAAAUGAAGUGGAGGUAGCAGCGGUACAAAGAGGAGGUUUGCUAUAAGUGAUUCAGUUUCAAAGUACCUAGAAGCAUUGGUUACGGCUUAAGGAAAGAAAAGCUGUGGAUCUAGCCUAUUAGUAUUCAAAUAGAUAUUAGCUCGUAUAGGCAUAUAAGAACUGUUCUCGUUGGCUCUAAGUGAGGAUCAUAAGCUUCCAGAAGGUAUAGAUUGUGGGUAAUAUUCCUUAUUUAGAUACGACUACUAGGCGCUGCGCUCAAAAGAUUCAAUGAAUUCUUAAGACAGUGGAGUUUAGUCCUUAGUUGAUGCUAGUUAACGAGUUGAUCAAAGUGAAAGUGCUAACGGAGCUCUUGUUGGUGACUUGAACCUUCUUCUCGGCUUGAGAAAAGAGCUAGAACCAGAAACUGUAAUAAUAAUGAACCGGCAUCUGAUCCUGCUCCUAGCGGUAAGUAAACUAUAUGAAUUAUAGCAGUUAGAAAAGUGUGAAGUGACUUCGAAUACUUACUUAUACAUAUAAGGACUAUGACUUAUUACUAAUAGUUAUAGGAGUUAGGAGUUCAAUUCCAUACCUGAGUUAUGAGUUAGUCGUACUUAUCAUUGCUUCACACAAGUCAAACUUUCGAGUUGCUUGCCCACUUCUAGUCGAGUUUCAUCCUAGUUUGCUACUCAAGAAUCAGAGGUUAAGUCGGCAGCAAGCGCAUCUGUUAAACAAGCCAAGUCAGCAGCAAGACGUUCACCAAGUUUAGUUCAGGGAAGAAAAGAGGACAAGACAAACUACAUAAAUAACAUAUAAUAAAGGUACUCCACUUGAAGCAGAAAAAUCCGCAGUGCGCUUGUUAACUACACGAGUUAUAGCAUUUGAUAACCACAGAGAUAGGUCGCUGAACCAGAAUCAUUCGCUGAGUAUGAUAUAUGAGUCCUGUUUCUUUCACUCUCGAAGGAAUACUUGCCAGAAAUGGGAACCUCCACUAUGGCUAACAACUCUUUGAUCGAAUACGAGGGAAAUACUGGGAACGGUCUCUUAUCCGGAAAACAAGACAAGGGGAUGCUACAACACUCGGGAGAACCUCUCCUAUCGAGCUGAGAUAACCUCUUUCAAACAAUCUGAUGGGAGAGCUCAAAAGGAAGUAUAACUAGGAGUCGAGGGGGAACUCAAAGAGGAAUGAACGGAAGAAGGGAAAGGGCCAAGCAACUGGACAAGCUCACCUCUGAGUUUCAUUAUGUAACUACUUAGGUCAAUUCUAACUUUUGGAAAUAGGACCUGGUUGUGUUGGCGAUAUAGGAGAAUAUGGGUAUGUAUGAUCUAUAGGGCCAUACUCAGCAUAGGUACGACUCAGCAGCGCAUCUACCAAUAUGAAUAUAGGUCUCAGAGCACUAAGCAACGAAUAAGUAAUAGGACAGAGAGCCAAACUCCGCUGUAUUGGAAUUCUGGGCACAAGAAUAUAGCCAGUAACAAUAAUACUUUUCACCCAGCGCUAGCAGGAAUCCGCCUAGUAAUAUAGAAUUCACCUAGUAAUGAUAAGACCUUAGCUUCACGCGCCUACCUUACUUGUAUUCUAGAACUCCAAAUAAUCAGAAUUGCACCAACAAAAGAUAGACUGACCUUACUAAGCAGCAGAAGAAUAAAAGCAUAGAUCCAGUUGGAAAGCGAGGAGAGUUUUAGUGAAAGUGCCGCGGGGAGGACAGGCUAUUAGUUAGCAGCUCCAUUCUGAUAGUAAUAAGUGGAUCGGAUCUCUAAUAUGCCCCAAAAGCCUAGUUCCUAUUUACGAGUUGUUGUCUUAGAGAUAGCUGCUACAGCCUUAGUUCUGAGUCGAGGUCUUAUUAGUAGUAGGACCCAAUCCGAUGUAUCUGACUUUCUAGUUGUUCUCUUAGUACUCGGUGAGGCAGUCAAUUCUUCAAUGAAAAUACUUUUAGAAGGAACACACCAUAGGGUUGGGCAAGAAAGAGUUAUUUAUAGUUAAUACAAGUUAUGUUGAAUGGAGCGUUAGACUGAAGCUAUGCAUUGAAGGCAGGAGCCUAAGAAGUUAGGUUCGCAAGUUAGGCUUAGUUGGUGUAUCGGGAAUGUAGGAAGAAUUGCCCUAACCCAUAAGAAUUGGCUGUUGGGUUCUGUACUACUGGUCUGUUACUCUAGUAGCUUAUUCCGUGUUUUCUUAUAUUAGAAUUCGUUUUCUCAUUAAAACGACUUCCCUUUCUACUCUAGUUUGGGUGACUUUACUUUCCUUUCCACCCUUAGGAUGCAACACCAACAGCAUCUUGGAUCUUGACCCUAAAACGGAGGUGAGGACUUCGCUUCAACAGAACUAGUAACCCCAUUAUAAUACUGACUAAUAGGAGUUAGCGUUAAGUAACUUGUUAGGAGUGAAAUUCCAUACCGGUACAAAUACUAAUCUCUAUCCUAUUGCUUUUAUGCACAACACCUUAUUUUGAGUGGCUUGGCAGAGCAAGAAAACCCUCAAAUAAUGGAAUUGGAAGCUGGUUUGAUCUAUUCCUAGCGUUUUCCCUAUCAUCUGAUCUUCCCCGUUCAAUAAAUGCAUUUCAAGCCUAUAAAACAGGGCAGCGUUUCUUGUCGUCUUGUCGGCUUGGCGGACCAGUAGUAGACUCAUCGACAACAAAUACAUAUGAAACUGCUUUAGAUCCCAAUCCAGAUCUGGUUCUUGCUUUCUGCUUUAGCUUACAAACUUGCUCCUUCUUUUUCUGUAACUGGCAAUUCUCCUAAUUAAGAUCUGUCAACUGUUUCUUAUCCUUCUCCCGCUUCGCUUACAACUGACUUAGGAACUGCUGAUUCAGUUACUGUGGAUUCUAUCUCUUAUUGACACCUUGGACUACGGGCAAUCAGUCCAUAUAAGGUCAAUCAGUCCAUAUAAUAAUACUUACCGCAGCACAAGUACCAAAAGAAACGAAACUGGAUUUACUUGUUACUGACUUGCUAUAUGGUGAAACUAUAACCCAAAUAGAUUCAAGUUCAAGGACAGAAACGCUUGUUGGCUCUUCUAAUGCUUUUAAGCCUAUCAUCUUUACCCUUUCGAAAAGAAUCUAUUUCUGGCAUAUAAGAUCUAAUUGAAUAGCAAAACUCACUUCUUAUACUACUGCUGACACAAACUCUCUCACGUGAGCUCCUGUUUUCGGCGUUAGUGUUCGAAAGCCUAAAGUUCACUAGUUUGUUCAAAAGCCUAAAGUUCACUAGUUUGUUCGAAAGCCCUUUUUGACUCUUAACCAACACUAGGAUCUGAAGCCGCCCUUACUAAUAGUGCCGAAGAGAAUGCCCACAGAGGGAUCAGAAGGUGGUAGCAGUGCAAGGACUGGAAAUUCCACUUGUGCUUAUUGUUCUCCGGCUUCUUUUGAACUCAUAUUCUAUAAGAAAUAAGGAUGCGCCUAGCCCUUAAGUAAAUGGGAGUAAAGAUCAGCUCUUUUAGAAUGCCAAGUUCCUGUUCUCAAGUAAAGGUAUAAAGGUGUUUGCGUGGGAAGGGCCAAGCUUCGUUUUGAGUUGCGCUAAGGAGCCCGGGGGGAGUUUCAUCCCGGCUAAGUAACUGCUACAAACACAUAACAUGUAAUAGACGACUGAUGAUUCUUUCUAAGCCAAUACCCGAACAAGAUUUGUAGGGAACUUUCCAAUUGCAGCUAACUAUUGAACUGCUUUUGAUGCUUCUUCAGCAGAUCCUUAUUCCGCUUCCUCACCAGAUCUAGCUGUUGCUUAUGAUCCUACUCUAUAUUCUAAUUCCACAGCAUAUUAUAGAGUUCCUACUCUGACUCUUUAUCCUGUUUCCUCUCUUUCCAUUCUUAUUGUCAACUUACUAGAAGGGCCUCCACUCCCUUACCUGUCAACAGGACCACUACCUAGCGCAACUCUCUCUUAAUUAUGACUUGAAACUAGAGCUCUCCUUUCUGACCCUACUCUAGCUGACCCGACUCUUGCGCCUUAAGGAUUUACUUAUUUGUUUGAUCCUCUCGACUUGCCUCGUUGCUUGGCCCUGUCACAAAUGCAAAUACGGAGCUUCUAUCUCGCUCACUUUAUACUUACCUACCCUAUGGGUAUUCGAAAAGAUCUGAUAUAGUAGACUUCACUCGUACUCCAAGAUAUGAUACUGAUUCACUAACCGUUGAACCCAACACCACAGAGUGGGCAUUCUCUUCUGAAUAAGCAACAUUCUUUUGUUUCGCAAGUCCCGUUUUUCACGUUAAUGAGCGGGCCACUGACUUGGAUCCAGCUUAUGUUCUGCUUUCAACCUAUUCUUUACCAGAUUAUAUAUGAUACUUUCCUCUUAUUGACCCGUGCAGACUUUCUUUCUCGUAGACCAACUAAGGGAAAGCCUAUUAACUAUACUAUACGACAAAGAGCUACUACAGCAGAGUAUUUGAAGUCGCACCUCUCUCCACUCGAAAUACAGAAUGCAACGGGGCCCCCGGGACUACUACUACUGGGCUGGGCUCGCUGACCAAAUCAUUCUACUAUCAACUAUUGGCAAAGAAUGAACUGAGUACCUGGAUGCAAGGGACCGAUCGCCAACAAUUUCUUACUACCACUCACCGGCAAGCUACUAAGAGACCCCAAACCCUAACAAGCUAGUAAGUCAACAAAGUCAGUCCACCACCCUAACCACCAAGCUUAGUAUAGACUAUCUGAUUGCCCAAACUCCCCUUCCCUUGUGUUGCCCAGUCCUACCCUAUAGUAUAGAAUUAGAAUAGAGUCAAAACUACCACUUUGCUAUAAAAAACCCUAGAAUGAGAAUGGAGUCAAAACUACCACUUAUUCCCUUUCCACUCAUGGCAACGUACUAACAAACGGAUUUGCUUAUAUUAUAUGAAUAUGAGUCGACUUGUCCGCUUUUGUAGCACCACUUCUGGCUUAGGUUAGCUUGUAAGAUUCUUCCCCUGCCCCCGGAACUUGACUUUCGAACUGAGGAUUCUCUUGUUUCCCCUGCCCUGGCCCUUGCUUUAGUUCAUUCUUUUUCUACUGCACUGGCCUCUCCUUCUGACUUACAGUAGUACUACCGGUAUUAGGCCUCUACUUCUGCCCUAUUAUUAAGUACUGCUUCCAAAGAUGAAAGUAGGUCUGCUCAUUCUAUUCUAUAUAUGACAACUAAGCUUCUAUAUAUGACAACUAAGCUAAGGUAAAGCCAAUUACCGAACCUAGAUAACACUCAGACACAAUACCGAACCUAGAUAACACUCAGACACAAUAACUAUAAGGGGCAAAGGCAAUCACUCACUCUCAGGCUUCUCCGAUUACCCACAUCGAAUGAGUUUUACCUAGACAAUUAGUUCAUUUGAAACAAGGGAUAUGAAAAGGGUCAAACUCCGUUUCCAGUUCUGAAGGAAGCAAGCCAUAGAGCAUAACCAGAAGCCAAAGUCAGUUUCAACUGAUUCCUCAAUUGGUUAUUAGAGUUCGGGUGCUUCAAGCCUGCAGUUUCUUAACUACUGUUUCUAGGGUGUUAACUAAGUUGACUUUGCGUUCUGCUACUACUCACUUGGAUUUGUACUAUACCUUAUAUAUAAGUAAGUCUGUACUUGCCCUUCCACUAGUAUUCGUUCCUUUAGCCUACCUUUACUUGCAAUAAUAUAAGUCCGGCUUUACUUGCUUUUAAACUCACGAAAUAUCUCUUCUUUCCCCCUGCCCCUACUACUUGGAAGGCUAUAUCACCACUGUGGGGCAUGAUCCUGGCUUUCCAACUGUCGCUACUUACCGAAAAACUUGCUUUGCUUCACUUACCUCUGCAGUUAACUCUCAUUCUGUGGGACGUCCCUUGCAUUUAUGAUUACCAGACUAUUUACUUAUAGAUCAAUACUAACAAUAAGCAAUCGAGGAAUACUGAAUUGAGCUGGGGAAAAGGAAUACUGUUCAUAAGUGAGAGAAUGCAACUGUGCGAAUAAGGUGCUGAAAGCCUAGGAAGCCAAAGAAUGGAAUGUCUGGCCAGUUAAGAUAGUUUCGAGUUAGAGCUAGUUAACCUCACAGGUAGUUUCAGCUUCAAAGUAAGGAUUCCACUCAACUCACUCAGUAGUAUAAGAGUCAAAACCUAGAGUGGAAGCAUCAAAAUCCAACUAGUAAGUAAAAGAACCAACCAGUAGGGGCGUGGAUUCGCUCUAAAGUCAGGAUACCUACAAGACUCUAGGUAGUUAUAUCAAAUUCCAUAAGGGAUGUGAUUCUCUAACACUGGGGUACAGUACAUACCCUGGCUGAUAAUAAAUGCAGGAUACUGGCCCGGGGUGUACUACAGGACCUAUAAGACCAGACAAGUAACUACAACUCGGGAGCUACAUUCCUCUCAACACUAACUCCUGUCCUGUCUCUCGUUCUUUUACUCCCGAUACGACCUAGAGCAUCUACUAAUAGAAUAAAGAUCGAGUGUCUCAUAUUAAGAGAAUUCAAUCAAUAACAGAAGGAAUUGCCCUAAGAAGUAUCAGAAUGGAGUUAAUUGGUAUCGGCCUAGGAUUGAUACAAACAGAGGCGCACAGAACAAGGGCUUAUUCUAAUAGUUUGAAGAGAAGGUGGGAAGUUGCUCAGAAGCUAAAACAAGGUAGUAGAACAUAGAUUCACACUUCAAAGGAGGCCAGUAAGCCUGGGAGACCAAAGUGACUAGUUUCAAAACGAGUUCCGUCAUAUUUAUAGGUGAGUCAAUAAGGACGAGGACAUAGUUGGAGGUGCACAUAGGAAUUCGAAUAAGUAGUUGUCUUGGGAGUUAGGUGCGGAAGGGGCAAAGGUCAGGAUCAAACUCCAGAGUCAGACAGCCGGUAAAGAACCUGUGUUAGUACAUUCUUUCGGUAAAGAACUAGUAUUAGUACAUUUAUGGAAUAUUACCCGCUCAUCAAUUGAAUUAAUAACUUAAAGGUGGAGGCGAGGUCCGCAAUCAGAGAGGGAAGUUCCCUUCAAAGAGCAGAGUUCUGGUGCAAAAGUGAUCACCACACCAACCAAGAGAUUCAGUUGGCGCUGCGUAGUUAUUUGUUUCUAUGCUCGGUAAGUGCUCGUAAGUGCUCGUGCCCCAAAGUAAUAAUGGAAUGGAAGGAUUUAAUGAUCAACUGCCAAAGUGAGAGUUAGAGUUGACAGAAACAGGACUUGCUUGCUGGAGUAGCUUAGCUAGUGUUAUUCCUAUGUUGUAGUUUCAUCCGCUCCCCCAAGUAGUUCAUUCUGACUUCAGUGGUGCCCCCCUUUUUCUUCUGGCUUUUGUAUACGUUGCUUGGCGUCUAGUCGUUGCUUGGCCCUCGCAUUCCCGUUCUCUUGUUUAAACCUUCCUAUACAGCUUGGCAUUCUGACUAUCUUUGAUCUAAUUCUCCAAUGUUGUCCCCCGGUCCUGCAAGGUUGUAGUAAAUAGCCUAUAUAGCCUAUAGGAUAUGGUAGGUAUGAUCGAUCCCGUGCACCUAACAAUUCAAUAAGAAACUGGGAUUUCCACUCAUGCUAACAAGACCCAUACUACUCACUGGGAAAUCUGCUACUUACCUCAAAGCUGUCCUACCUAGCUCUUUGAUUCUGUAACUGAUGCCUAUAAGCCUGUUUACAAUAACUCAUAUAUAUAUUCUUAAUAACCCGCCGAUCAGUCACCGAGCAAACUACUAACUACUAUAGGAAUCAAAUAACAACUAACAAGAAUAAACGGUGUGGGCAACCUUCUACUAUAAGACUUUCCUCUGCUAAGGAAGAAUCAAAACAAAGCCAAGGAAGCAAGCUACUCUAUAAGAAGAACAGGCUUACUUUACUUAAUUAAUUAGACUUGAGUCCGACUCCGAGACUCCUUGAUCUCAGGCUUGCUUUUUGUUAGUUAAUUCAUUAUUCUGGGAUAAGGCAUUAAAAGCGGUAGCUGGCUUCUCCGCUGUAGCUCGCUUCUCAUCCUAGUACCAAAGCCUUGUUGACACCAGUCCCAUUCUUCUGUUGACUUGUUUGAUCCCGAUUGACAUUAUUCGAGUUCUGUUAUUAUAUGCGCGCUACGCCCACGGACCUAAUUCUUAUACUGAUUAGCUUCAUUCUGUACAUGCACCGGAUCAUACCAUCAUACCCUAGCACCGGAGCAUACCAUAUGACCCUAUAGGCUAUUGACUCCAACUUGAAAUACACCUAUUCCAUUGACUCCAACUUUACAUACCUAUUGUUUUAGUAUCAGUGAACUAAGGUUGUUUUAGUAUCAGUGAACUAAGGCCCUAUACUACAUUGCUAGUGCACCUAGGUAUAACAAUUAGUAUUAGGGUAGAAUAAAAGCACAGAACUCAAUUAAUUGCUACUGGAAAGAAUCAGACAAAGAAAUAGGGCUUUUGACUAUUACCUACAAGAAUUGAAGCUACCGCUUUUAACAGUAAAACAAAGAAAUAGGACUACUUUAGCUACUGGCCUCGAGUCCCUGUGCUUAUUGGUUGAAACUGAAACUCAGGACUUGACUUCUUAUCGCUACCAACACUAGUCUUAGAUCACUGCUACUACAUCCCUACUCAAAGCGAUGGCACCUUAACACUUAAAGCAUUACUUGACUGACUUUAAAACAAGUACUCUAGUAUACAUUACUUGCCUAUUUCUUACUAUGCAAUCCAACGAGCGCUUCCAAUCUAAUGAAGAAUCCCACAACAGCAGAUAAGAAUACGACUUACAGCCUAUGAGCCUUAUCUUACUUGCUUCGACUCUAAUACCCUGGGCACUUUCUCUAUAUCUCCUUUUGCUCUAACUCCCUUAUUGCCCCUUGCACCCGGGCUUGUUAAGCUAAAGAAUCGAAUUGGCACCGAUAAUACUACCACAACAAUACUGGAUUUCUUUCUUUCCUCCCCGCUCGUACCUUAUCAAACAAACCCUAGCUACCCCAAAGCAGGGCUCUACGAAACAGAAAGUAUCAUGGCUUUCAGCUCCUUCCUUGAAAAUGGAACUUGUAUCUGUCUUUUAAGGAUCAAUAAUGGCAACAAGUAAAGCGGCAAAUCCUUCUCCAAACUCACGUCUGAACUGACUCGCCGACGCACAACAUAAGAAAGAAUGGAAUAUGAUCUGUGCUUUGCCUGAUGAUUUACAGCUUGACCUUUGCUUUGUUAGUGCUUCUGUAAUGGACUUUUCCUUUGCCUGAGACAGCUUUCCCGAGUAGCUCGCCUUCUUCUUCUCUUAUUGGGUCCUAUCCUUACCCUAUCAAUUCUUCUUUGAUCUACUUCCGGAGGGAAAUCAAUCAGUAUCAAGAAAGCUCUAUCUCUAUAAGCGGGGGAAUGAAAUCAUCUGAACUAAACAAGCAACGGCAAAAGCUACGGAAUAAACAAGCUACGGAACAAGCUACGUAACAAGCUCCGGAACAAACUACUAUUAAUGGAUAGCUAACGGAGAACAAGGCAAUAAUGAAUGAGUCUAGGAUAGGGUUUAGCUGCCAAUAAAGAGCAUUUUCAGAAACUUCAACAAGCAAGAGUAUCAUAGAUGAGCGGUUAAACAAGCGAGUAUCAUAGAUGAGCAAGCAGAUAAUGUGAAUCUAUUAGAUCAUAUGCGAGAUAGAUAAAAUUGGGUAGCUUCCAACUCUCCCGUCUUUCUUCUUGUAAUGGUGGCUUUUGACGAACAGUUGGCUUUAGUUCAUUAUAUCGUAAUUCCUUAAGUAAAGUAAGUAAUUCAUUAUAAGUGGGUGGAGUAACUAACUGUGCCGAUAUUAGUUAUUCAAGCUUUCUUUCUUUUAUUUCACCAGCAAACUCAAGCUGAAAAGAGAAAACCUCAUUGAAGCUUAUGAACGAACCGAACCCAUCUUCCAAAUUGCUAACUAAAGCUUGACAUCACCCUCCAAUAGUUAAGAUAAUAGAAUCUUUCUAGAGAAUUGAAUAUUUACAUCUAUUGAUAGAUAAUAUAAUAUUGACAUCUAUACUGAACCGAGACCUUAACCUCUGCUAAAUCUCUUGGUUUGGUUCGGUUGUCCUCUUUGCUAGCCGGAGUAUACCACUAGUGAAAAACCCUUUGAAGAGACAAGGGAUCGAUGUCGCUAGGCGAGGUCAACUCUAUCAUUGUUCUCCCUUAAUCAAUAUAUAAAUAAGCAAGGCAAGUUGGGCUACAACUAUCCCGAUGCAGCAAAGAAAGCUAGGUCGUGCUCUUAUCGCGGGGAAAGGGUCGACUCCGAAAGAUCAGAGAAAGAACAAGAACCACAUUUGAUCCACACUUAUAGCUAAGAGCGGCUUUUUGAGCUACUAUACUGGCGCUCUCAACGUCGCGCAGCUUUUUCAUCUUAGUAAUCCAUACUCUCGGGGACCUGGGGCAACCAAUAAGAAAGACUCUAUCAUUUAAUGGUAGUUGAGUGAAGAAUGAACAAGUAACGGCUUGCAGCAACAAACAAUGGAACAAGCUACUGUGCAAGUACAAACAAUGAGGCUACUAAGCUUUGGAGUGUGCUGUUAGUGAGCUCUCAGGGCAGUAAAGGCGUUGCGAAAGACAGAGUCGUCUUGAAAAUCGAGUAUUUGAAUCCCUUGAAGAGAUUGUGUUUCAAUACAAUAAAUGCCGAUUCUGAGAAAAAGCUGUAAGCAAAGCAGUGUUUUGAAUCCCUGGUUCAUCGCAUUUCGCCUGCUUUGAUUAGGACUUUUUUGCCAGGUUCUUUCACAGUUAACAAACAACCAUUGAAUCCUGAAGUGACGGAACUACCAAUCCCAAUCAAAGGUCCUACUCCUAUUGACCUUGUAGCAGAUUCGAUAACGGAAUUAGUGCUCUAACAGAAGAGACUUGCUUAGGUCACACCUUGAUCUUAUCCUCCGAGUGCCAAGCUAACUUUAACUAGGAUUCGUUCACAGAGAAAGAUUCGGUUCUUCCUUCUUUUGAUCUUAUCCCGCAACUGCCCCUAGGAAAGAAAAGAGAAAUCCCAGUCUUUAUCAGGUCCGGAUCAGGGAACUCCUCUUUCUAUGCUAAUAGUUUAGUCCUACCUAACUUUAUGUUGAUUGAUACUCGAGAGUAAGGUCAAAAAACAAAGAGUAAGCAAUCGAAGACCUAUUCAUUCUAAUGCCCACUUAUCUAAUCUAAGUUAAGUUCAUUUCGGAUUCAAUCGAUUCUUCCCACCCAUGUGUAGCCUAUGCGAAGCAAGCCAAGACUGGGCUCACAUAUAUCCUAUUCCUCUUAUUGCUGGCAGAUUAUAUAAACUAUUGAUUUGAUUAUAUAAACUAUUGAUUUAUAAACUAAACAUAAGGCAGAGAUAUAGAAAUGUGGGAAUCGUGGAAAAUGAUGUCACAUCACAGCACCUCCCCUCGCUCCACUAGCUAGGUAACUCCUUUUCUAAGCUAAGAAAGCAGCAAAUCAGCGCAAAUAGGCUCUCCUAUCAUUCCCUCCACUUUCUCUUAUAUAGUAAGUAUGGAAUAUAGUCAGUAUGGAAAGUGCUCUUAUAUAGUUAGUAUUGCAAGUAGUCAAGAUGCCAGUGCCUAUGAUAUUGCCCUUCCUUCUCUUGUGCCGGGCGUGUGAAUCUGGAACCAAAGGACUACUUCUCGUGAUGAGCUAUUUUCAGGAAUCUUUCGCCUUCGAAUUUCUUUCAUCACCCUUUUGAUUAGUUUGAACAAGAGAAACUUAUUAGUUUGAACAAGAGAAACCGCGAACAGCUCUUUGCCUUUCUGCUUCAAAGAAAGAGGUGGGGAGAACCAUCAGUUUGGAGCACCCAUAAAGCUGGGGAAAUGCCUUUUAUGAGCCGCCUACCCUACCUAUACGCAACUCUCUCUCAUUGAUUAAGCCUGCCUGCCUGUGAGCCAUAAGAUGAGUUCUGGUCCAAGAGAUAGGACCCACGGUUAUUGAACUUACGUUCCCCGGUUCGGUUAAGCCCGUUAGUAGGGGCGAGCGAGAGCUGAUUUCGCUUUGAAUCCAACUCUGAUCUUAAUGCACCCGAAAAGAAAAACCAUAGGAAUUGCUGAACCAUCGCUAUCGCUAAAGUAAGGAAGAGUUGAGUUAACGAAAGGCCAUGGGGAUAUCGUUGACUCACUUGAACCUGUUGGCUUUAGUUUCCUUAUAUAUGAAAGCGGGAGUAAAGCAAGGAAUUUCUGCCAUAGACAGCGCAGCAAGUGAAUCAGAUGUCGGACUUCUCUCUCGAGAGAUGAGGCGAAUUGAUAGACCAAUGGGGGGCCAAGCAACAGCCUGUAAUGCCUAAGCACCAGCCUAAGUAUACCCAGCAGCAGGCUUAGAUUAUUACUUGCUUCAUUGUCCUGUGCCACUCGGAAUACAGAUUACUUAAUGCGCGUUUCACCUCAUAGGGAAGAAUCGAACAGGUGUUUAUGCGGGCGUCAUAGGGCAGCUAGGGUGAUGUUUCAUUCUGUAUUUCCUUACAGAGUAGCCGGCUACAUCCCGAGUUCAAUCCGUUAUUGAAUCAGUUCGCGGAAGGUAGAAAACGGAAUACAGUUAUUCAAGAAGAAAGUAAGAAGGACAAUAGGCACUGUUAUCUACUACUGGAUCAAGACUAACUUACCAAGACAAACUUCCCAGGCUUAUGGUCUUGCUUCCUUGUCAGUGGAAUUAGUAUUUGUUAACUACGGCGAAAUUGGUACUCCCCAGUCUUGUGUUUUACAGUUAUCAUAUCUUUAUUACUUGCUAUGUGUUCGGCCAUCAAUUGUUCAUCGAUUGUUAUAAUGAAAUGGCAUCUCCUUAGAAGAGGGAUGGAUCUUGGGCAUUCCAUUCUUUUAAGAGUGGGAGACUCAGAGGAUAGGUCAAUACCAGAGAAGAGAGAGGCAAGGGAUACUUUAUUACUUAGUGCAGGACCGCUAGUCAAUCAAUGUGAUGCGCCAUAUCCAUAUAUUAUUAUUAAUGCACCUUAACCUUUUAUAGCUUCUGUAGUGAGUGACGAUCAGAUUGCCCCAUUUCAUCUUUAAUAACAGAAUGAGGCUCCUGUCUCUAUAAGUAUUAGAUAGUAUAGGAAGUGGGCCCUUAUAAUAAUUGCUAGCGCAUUCCCUUAUCUAAUCUAUUAAUUCCACUUAGAGGUCUUAGACAGCCCCUAAAGAUAGAGAGAGUAGCUACCCCUCCGCUCUUAUCCUAACCAAGUAGUCAACAAAUAAUUCAUUGGAUCUUCUCUUCUCUGCGACAAACACUCGAAAGAAACUCGUAUUCAUUUCUGGUGUUGGGCAAGAAGGAGAUUCGAGAGUCAAUUCGGCUUCUUUUCUUAAGCGAAUCCAGUUUUCGGGCCCAGACUCUGUGGUGGCGGCGUCAAGGAAAGUUUCAGAAUGAAAUAUAGUCGCUGAAAGUGAGAUUUUACAGGUACUCUUUGUUAUACGAGCCCCUUGCACCUAAGCAUUCAGUCUUAUCUUAUUCUUUAACAAGUAGUAGUCCAGGCAACUACUAGACUCGCAACGGGACAAGCCACUACGGAUGAAGAUAAGAAGUUUAUUACUUAUACUGAUAGGACAGGCCCAGACUAGAUAGGACUGGCCCAUACUCAGUGGCUAAAGCGAGGCGCGUCAGGGAGCUCAAUAGGAACUCUAAAGUCUUGUUCAAGUGAUAGGGCUGGGCGACAGAAUAGAGGUUAGUGCGGAGAGACAGUAUAGUUCGGAAAUGCAAAAGGGGCAGAACUCGCAUUAGCAUCAAUGGCGAAGUAUCAACUUAUCUAACUGUGCUGUGCUGCUGUGCCGAUAUGAGUAAUUAAAGGAAGGAAUGAGAAUGAGAGAAAGAAGCUUGUGUUAAGCUUAAUUAAAGGAAGAGCAAUGCUGUGAGUUGAGAUAAAAAGCAAGGGUAGUGUUCACAAGAUCUAUAAUUUCUAUCUUAUAUAGAUGGGAGAACGGAUUCCACAUUCUAUCUAAUUACAAUUCCACUCACACUCUUGCCUCCUACCUCUCCACUUAUUAGAGGUUAAGGGUUUACAAGGGAAGCAGCGUACUUAAGAAUAGGGCUGAAGGAGAGGCUAGUGUACUCAUGACGGAUAUUCUUUUUCAUAGCUUCCCUUAUUCCUAUAUAAAGAGAAAGAUUGCAUUUAGUAGGUGCCAAGCGACUACUAGACAAGUAGACAACCAACCACUUUGCUGCUUUAGAGCCCUAUAGGUUAGCGCUAGAUGUAGUACCUAAUUCCAAUAUGACAACUUGUUCUAUUAAUGUCCGUAUUCCAUUCUUCUACUUACUUGUUUGAUUCUCACUUUCCCACUUGUUAGUUCAAUUCAGUAUCUGUUCUGUUGCCAGCAGGGUUCAAUGAUGAGUUGCGAGUUAGCAGAGAUGAGCUAGUAUAUGCUAUUUGGAGUACCCAUUCCUUUGACAAGCGUAUACUAAUGACCAAGCUAGUGACCGAUUCCAAAGGUAUAAAUUCUCUGAUCAUGAAGAAGCUUUCUCUCUUUGUCUUUGCUUUGUAGUAGUUGAUUGGCUCUGUUACAUACUUGUUAGGCAGGUUUACUUCACUUGAGUAGUCAAAAGAGAGUACUGGCUUUGAUACAGAAGAAAGAGAAGGAGAAGAGUUCAUUCUGUAUUUGAAGCCUGAGUUAGCUGGAGAUGAGCAAGAAGUAGAGGAGCCAUCCAGAGUUAUGAAAAAGUAGAUGAGCUAUAGGUAAUAGGUAGCAUAGAAGUUAUAAGAGAUGAAAGAGUAUAUAGGGAUGAAUUCGUAUAUGCCCUGUCAAAGGGACAAGAAACUUACCGGUAUUACUUGCUAUGUGUUUGUGGGAGACAAUAGGACAGGUAUAAAGGACUGGAAGGAUAGAAAGCAGACACAAGUCACAGGUGUAGUUAGUUGACAGAGGAGAGGCGGGUUCGGUGCCGAUAUCCGUUUUUAAAGCAAUGCAGGAGUUAUGAGUUAGUGUAUGAAGUAGUAAAUAGGCCAAGAAAGUGAGUUGUUGCUAGUCGGCUUGUCUAGGGAAAACUCAAUAGUAUACGCUUUGCCCAGGAAUAGCUGAACUAGAAGGAUAGGAAGUAUUUGUUUCAAGAGGAGAGGAAAGUAACGUGAGAGUUUCAAGAUCUGGUAAAGAAGUGGAAGUUGAGUAUCUACUAGAAUAUUGUAAAUAAGAAGGAUAAUACUUAGGAAGUAUUUCUUUUAAGUGCAGCAGCGAUAUAUUCUUAAUCAGCUGUUCGAGUUUUGUAAACCAGAGAGAGAGAAUCCGCAUCCGCAGUUCUUGUGAAGUCUACUCGAUUAGAAUAUGGUAAAGAAUCUGGUUAAAGAUGAGAAAGAAGCUCUGUAUUUGCAUAGUUUGAUCUCUGUUCAAUGACUCGAUAUCAGGGCUCAGAUCUCCGUUUAGGGAGUGUGAGUGUAGUUCGGUUUCAAGUUGUUUUAUAUAGAAGCGAGAAGAAGCUUCAAUUAUGGAAUCAUAGGAUUGAUCUGCGCAAAGUAACAUUCUGUCAACUCGAGAAUCUGAUGGAGCAGGAGAAGGAUCUUCAGCAGUGCGAGAGUAAGUAGCAUGCGGUUCUGAAAGGAGAGUUCGCCGGGGAUACUUCGAAAAAGAAGCCUUAUUGCCUUGACUUGGAUUAUAGGUUGUUGCUUCUGUAACUGCACCAUUGGUUGUUGCUUCUGUAACUGACCCCCAUUUGAGAGUUCUCUACCACAUUAAUAGAAGCCUGACUCCAAACUUGUUGCCAUUAUGGAUAAGCUAGAGGCAAAGUCACCUGUAUUCUGCUAUCCUAUUAUACAGAGCUAAUGAUUCCGCUUGAGUGGAAUUCGCCUUAGUAGUAGAAAAGAAAAGUACAUAGGCAGCUAAGCUAGGAAGGACUAUGUUUACUACCCGGAUACAAAGUAAGCAAGCGAAGGAAGUAGAUCGGCGGUAGAGUCUUAGAAAAAAGAAGAAAUAUAAAGAUCUUCCAACUAGAUCAGGAUCAGAUGCUGUUGUGUUGAAAGAAAGUCUGCUGUUAAGCCUGAAAGUGUAGUUCUUGACUUGACGUCUACAGGUGCUUCUCAAAUCUAAGAAAUCUCAGUUCCAGGAAAGUAUACGAGAAAAUCCGUCUUAAGGAAUUACCCGAAGAAAGGUAGAGUGAGGAGUAACUUCACACUGGAAAGGAGGUAGGCAUGGGAAGAGCAGUGCGAGGAAAGGGGAAUUCAAAGGCAGCUAAUCAGCGGGAAAGAAAUAAGGGUUCCGGGCAGAAUAUCUGACUUCUGAAGCUGGAAAAGAAGCUGUUCCUAUUGAAUCUGCAGGUGAGGAAUUAGGACCAUCGGAAAGAUCUUAUUAAUCUGUCUUUAUUGGCUCCGAGGGAGGUCAAUUCUUAAAUGACAACUUCACAACCCUGCUUGAACUUAAUCAAGAUUCUUUCCCCCGAGACUUCUGGAACUUUACUUGCGGACUUAGAGCUAGAGCACCAACACAAGUCUCUCCUGACGCUAACUUCUCUUGAAGACUUCCCACCCACUUGCAGCACUAGCAGCUUCUGGAAGUUCUGACAAUGCCCUCUUUUCUCGUAGACCUAAAAUUCAUAGUAAGGGUCCUGCUUGCUUCUUUACUUUAUAAGAUGAAACAAGGGAAUAAGAUUCAACAAACAGUAGUUGUUAUGGAGUCCUAUGAACUUUAUAUAUAAUGUUAGGCGGCAGUAAAGUCUCCUCACUUUCCUCGUACCGACAAGUCAAUCCCCUCUAUAGACUGAACUUUGAGAUCUAGAUACAAGCAACUUAACUGGAAAUCGUACUAGAAACUAUAAGGAGCGUAAGCCUUAUACACAAGCACUUUCACCUUUAUUUACUGAUUGAAACCCUUUCUGCCCUUCCUGAACUUUACUUGAGAACAGAAUACUAACGGAGCGAGGAUCUACCUGUUGCGUAAGGGCAUCUACUCAUUGCAUUGCUUCUUUGAAUUAAGUACUCGCCUAGCUGCCUUGCUUGUUUUAAGAACUCAGAUAGGCACGCACAGUUGGCCUAGUAGAGUAAUAAAAGAGUAUGCACCUAAUAAAGUAACAAUAUUCUCAACUCCUUAUGAAAUCAAUCAAAUCAAUAAAAAAGAAUAGAAGAGAGUUUUCAUCAUAUACAGUUAGCGCAAGUGCUGUUUCGGGAACUGGAAAUUCUUUUGCUGGAACUCUAUACCAUAAGGAGCUAGAGCACCAACAGCCAAGCCGACAAGCAUAUACAUAUGUAGUUGUGCGCCGGACACAGGUGAACUCUGGAUUGGACUAUUUUAUUGCCCGAACGUAGCUUGAAGAAUUGUUUGAUGCUGACUUGAGAACUUAGCUUUCUGCUUCCCUUGCCGGCCUAGACCUGACUUUAGCCUCUUCUUCUGUUUCUUCCAUUCAAGGGUCCAUUCCAUUCUGACUUUCCUACUUGCCUACUGCCACUCACAAGCUUGCUCGUACCUUAGUGCAAUUCUGUAACUCUACCUUAUUAGGUUCAUUCUGAAAUGCCAACUAGCACAAGUAAGAUAAGAGCUCCUGCCGCGACACAUUAGUAGUGUCUUGGCCUAUCCAAAUAUCUCUUCUUAUAUUAUAUGAUAGGAUGACUGAUUCCACAGCCAAUCUUCAUGAAGUUAUGGGGGCAGAGGCAGAAGAGACGGGCCCUUAUAUACUAGUUCACAGGACUUGGUCAUAACUGCUUGGAAUUCUGAGUUUAGGUAAAUCCUCUGGUAGUGACUUGGCUUGAGCUUUCUGACUUACUAGAUCAAUUCCCUUUUUGGACCGAUUGCAGCUGUCAACUAUGAACUGAUCAUUCGGUAUACCUUAUUUGUUGAUUUCUCUCUUUGCCUUUCUAGUGGUUGCUGGGCCUAUUUACUACCCCGGACCGGACAGGACAAUCAACUCUAUCUCUACAACAAGGGAAGGGACCAUAGGUAUAAUAAGUGGGCUCCACCCUAAGGUUACAGGAGGGACGAAGGAAAGGUGGUAUAGCUAAUAGUUCCUGAACUGCCUAAUUAUUCACCCUAGCCAGAGCCAGAGGAGUGGUAAAGUGGAAUUUGUAUUUGUAGUGGUAUGGUCCAGUGGGGUUGGUGCUCUAGUUCUAAGUCAUAGGGAUGGUUUUGGUAACCAAGUCCUGUCCUCGUAUAUGUCUUCUCCCCAGCAGCAACUGCUUCUUCCGUUUUCUGGAAAGCUAUAGGAAAGGAAGCAGCUUUAUUGCCUAUUCAUUUUCUUUAUGCAGGAGCCGGAUAAUAAACAGAAUCAAGAUCUUGCAGCUGGACAAAGAUUCCAUUAAUGAUUCAGAUUGUCCUCGUUGAGUAUAGAUCCACGGAGCGGUAAUCGGGGUAAUAGAAAGAUUCCAUUCUGAACUUGCAAGGAUAGGUCGGACAAGAGCAUUGGCGACCAGAUCAGAAGUUGGAUCCGAAGCCGUAGAAAGUAUUAUGCAAAAGGACCGGAGGCUGGGCGAGGAAAUGAGAGGUCGGAAAAAGAACUAGCGUUGCUAUGUCUUUACUUUUUUCUAUCUUUGGUGCUCGAAAGUAAGAACACUGCCCGUAGAUUGAGGCACCCAAUUAAUAUACAACCACUUAUGCACAAUAGUAACCGAACUCCGAACUCCCUUUUUGUUCGCCUAGUUCGAGUUGACGACUUAAGAGAAGCUAGUAAUAUUACUCCAAUUUAUCUACGAGGGUUUUGCUCUCAAUAUUAUCUGAUGCUUCUGUUCGCCCUGUUCCACUUGACUUUAGAUUUCUACCUUUUGCAAGAUGGAGCAAGAGAGAUUCUGGAACCUAUUGUAUCAUAAGCUAGAUAGAUUCCAUUCAUGAGAGAAAGCAAGGUGCUGAAAGCCAAGAAAGCCCAAACUAUUGGACGAUGGAUCGUUACACAUCUAGAAGAAGAAAAGAGGUGAAGCGGUUAAAGAACCAUAUAUUAUAUAAGCGCAUUGUUACCUCACUGCAACAAGCAAGGGCGUUAGCUAAUUCUGAGUAUUUGCGCUAAGAUCUUUUUCUUACCCGCCCGCACACGUUAGCACAACGACCCGACCUUUCUCUUUAUUGUUUAAUCAAAUAUCACUGACAUAGAAAUCUCACUGACAUUGUAUAGAAGGACGUAAACAAAUGGCUUCUUUUUAGUUAGAAUAGAGAUAUAGGGUCACUAAACAUUAAGAACGAAUUGAGGCAGCCUUACCCUAUACAUUGCACUAAAGCACAGAGUAAGCCAAACCCUUCAAAACACUAGACUAGACUAUAAGGACGGAGGCAGACUAAGCACUUGCAGAGGCGGAGUUGGCUUCAGGUAGAGAAUCAGAGAUUUGACAAUGCCCCCUGGAGUUGAGAUCAGAUCGAUAAAAAGAAGAGAAAUAUUGCUCCUAUGUUCAAUUCAUCAGAUGGGUGGGUUUCUCUUUCCAUUGAAUAGGAAUUGGAAUAGGAAUUUGCACCGAUCAACGGAACAAGACUACUGCGUUUGUGAGUUUAAACACUUAUAGAAUAAUGCACACGUAUAGAGGAAUGAAUGUAACCAAACACCCGGACUUUGAGCUACUGCCCACUAGAGCAAGGAGUAAGGAGUUCCAGAAGCCACAAGACUAAGUGUGCUAACAGGAAGUGGAGUUUGAGUUUAAGGAUAAAGGUAUACUUCAGCAGCGGAAUGGACUGGUAUAAAGUAAGUGGUAAAGAAAUGAGUAGAUUACGGGUCGGGUUGACUGCGAUGAAAGCCGUAGAUAUAAGAAUGAGUAAGCAAGAAAAGUCUCUGGAAAUGCUGUUUCUGUUAGAUGGAAAUCCUUCUUUGUUGUCGACAAUAAAAUCAGAGGUAUAGCGGUUAUAGGGCUUACUUCCGUAUUGUUAGGUUGAUCUCGCCCAGUAGAAUCAUAUGUUUCAGUUUCCAAAGCUUUAUAUGUAUCUGAAAGCGGGAACUGCUAAUGUAGCGCAGUAAGGUUCAGAAAUGACAUAAUAAGGUAUAUGAAGUGCACAUAUAAGAUUCAACAAGCAAUGCUGUCAUGCCCAUCCUCAUUUCUUUCACUCCGGGGUGGGUACCCACCUUCUACUCAACAAGUCGUUGCGCGUUCAGGAGUUUCAAAUAAUAUAAUCUGCCCUAAACAACACCUCAGCAUUAGAAAAGAGAUCUGAUUCUUUUAAAGAGAAAAUGAAAACUCACCUUCUGUCAGGAAAACAAGACGGAACUGUAAACUCUAAGUUGUAGGCUACCCUAUGAAAACUUUCUAUUGAACUUGCCUUGCCCAAACUCCACUUUCUGACUAAUACCCGAUUGUAGCUUACUUUGACACCGCUUCCGAUACUGAUCCAGUACUUUCUUCUGGGCACUGCUGAUUCUUAUGCUGGAACGAAACUUGAUACUCUACCUAGAACUCAUUAUGAUACUGAUCCCGCAUCUGCUUCACCUGACACGGAUCCUUCUCCUACUACGGAUACAGGCAUACGCAACUCUGUCUUUUUCUCCAGCAUCAUAUAUUUCUUCUGCUUCUACUUCCAACUCUCCUUUUUCCUCGCACAGGAAACCUGUCAAACACGGAAUUCCAAUCAUUCAUUUCCAUUUCACUAUCCUUACGCGCCGAAGCUUGUUUCUUGACUUUCUAUCCUUGCUUAGGCAUCCUAAGAAGUUUCUCAUUCUGUCUGAUCUGCUCUUCUUUCUUUAUACGAGAAAAACGAUACUUUGGAGUCUAUAUGUCACAUACACAAUGAAUCGAUCAACCAAGCGAACGAAACACUAUUCUAAUGAAAUAAGGCUUUGUCCGAGUACCGAUCUACAACUAAGUAGAUGUCUCACGGGCGAAGGAAUAGAGUUAGGACCGGUCUUGACUUUAGGUCGGUUGCCGUCCUGCAAACUGAGGGCGCCGUUCGCCACACACUUAAUAAAGAGUACAUCAGGAUCAGAGAAAGAGUACAUCAGGAUCUGAUUGAUGCAAGAGAUAGAUCGGCCUGCGGACCCUAUCCUUCUUCCAUACUCACUGCGAGUCCAUUGUGCUUAGAACGAGUAGAGCGUCUUCAAUGCGAGUAGUGCGUGGAGUUUAGCCUAAACAGUUAACAUAGUUGUGUUUGUACAGUGAAAUAGCGGCGUUUGUUGUUUGCCCUGCCUUCGGAAAGGCGACUCCUAAUGGUACCUUAGUUCUCCAUGGGCGUCAGAAGGGGUCGUUUAGUUCAGGCAUUCAGUAAGUUGCCGUCAAGCAGUUCUCACUCCAAGCGGGACUCUUUUCUAUGGAUUAGUGGUAAGGCGCAGGAUAAGAGAGGAUUCGUCUAUGUAAGUAGCUUACGAGCCAGUACUGUUCGUGGGCAAGCAAAGUAGAAACUCGCCAUCCAUUUCUACAGAACGUAUAAAGGUUCUGCAGGCGGGUGUGAAUUUGAAGUUUCCGGUGGGUUCCGUGUGUAUGGAAAGAAAGAUGAAUAGUUCGGUUGGCCUUGGGCGGAGAUGGAUACAGAGGUGGUUAGGCUUCUAUCCUACUAGUAGGACAUGCAGUUCUCCCCGACGCCUUAGGGCAGGCACGAAAUCAAUUAACAGCUUCUAAAGAAAGAGGACUACUUAAGACAGCAAGAACGUCCAAAAGCAGUAAGUUCACUCUCGGAACAAUUCCAAGAAAUCGAUGAAUGUGUCCCGCAACGAAGAAGCGCUAGCUUACCUAUAGAGUAUGAGGAAGGUGAAAUACUGUCUUGUGGGUCCCCAAGGGUUAGAACCUAUAACGGGAGAAUUCGCUUUCACUAUUUGAGAAAAGAGAUGAAUAGGCAGAGCUGAACAAGUACCUUCCUUCAAAGCUUUGAACUCCACUUGCGCCCGCUUCUGAUCUCAUUCCCAGUCCAAGCUCUGACUUUACCGGAUAACUCCGUGUGUGGACCAAUGGCAGAGCACUUGUGGCGUUAACCAGUAUCGCUCUCAGACUCAUAGCACUUUGUUCACCCCCAAGAAGUUAGCCGAGGCAUUAGUUGCUGAAGCUGGGGCGGAUUCCCUGAUUGACUCAUCCUUGUUUCAAAACCACCACCCAGUAUACAAGGCAUACUUGCUCACAACGAUCUCUAGCACUGUUUCAUUCUAUCCUACCCUAUACGGGCUGGCUGGGUCAAGAGUGCCUUGCCGUUGCUGUCGCCAACCACCCUAUCGGUAUCACCUAUGCUACUCAUAUCUUAUCCCUACCUUCUGGCUUCCGUACCUGAUCUGGCUUGGUCCGCCAAUAACUUAUCUUGUCCGCGACUUAACUAUCAUUAUAUUACCUUAUCCGGGGAAACAGAAUCAUGAGCGAGAUCCGAUAGAAUAAAGUAAGCGCAGCGGGAUAGAAAUUGUUAUUGAGAAAGAAAAUAAUUCAUUAUCAGAGCUAAUAGGGAGCAACAUAGAGGUUUGGAAUUUGCCAUUAAAGGAGAAAAGAGCUGCCCGUAAGCCCUAAACACUGGACUUGAACCCGAGAUACCCUAGAGAGUUGUGCGCGUGAAGGACAGAAAGGUUGCUCGGCCCUAUGCUUGAGUGGAAUUCUGAAAUUCCUUAUUGGCUGCCGACCUAUUCAAUCUAAAUGAAUUAUUAUAUAUUCUAUUAUAUUAUAGGAGAACUGAUUCCAGAUAACCGCUUCAACUCCCUUUCCUAACUUAUGAACUGGAACAGUAAGCUCCCUUUCCAUACUUGAGAACAAGAACAGGGGAAGAAGGGACUGCCGCUACACAUUAGUAGUUGCUUGGUGCCUGAAACAACUAACAACCAGCCUGAAACACCUAACUAUCAGAAUGAAACAAAGCAGACUCAGAAUCAAACUCACUCGUCACAGAACCAACCCAGUAACAACAAGCCUGACACCGGGUGCUCUCAAUUGUCAGAAUGAGACUAAGUAGUGAAAGAAUAAGACAGGGUGCCCCAACACAGGUUAACUCAGGACUUGCUCUGUACGGUUGGGUUGAAAGUGGUCUGGUCCUGUUGCAUCCGUAUUUGUUGUAUGAGUUUACAAAGGUAUGUAUAGUUGCCGAAUGAAGCAAGUCAGAGUGAAACACCUGAGUAGCAGUAAAGAGCAGCUGGUGGAAUUAUUAAGAAUGGAAUGAGUUUACUUAUAGUACUUUACUAGAGCAAGAAACAACUUAAUGGUAAGGCUCGGAGUAAGAGUAAUCAAGAAGAGAAGAAUUAGUUAACAGAGGAGAGAGAGACAAGGUCAGCUGUGGAAUCUGUAUUUGUAGUUGUAGCUAGAGGAUAGAGAUUAGCUAGUUGCAAGAGGAGAGGCGAGGAAGCUAUAAGUACUGAUGUAAUGACUUUGCUAUCCGCCAAGCAACUACUAAUGUUGCGCGGCAGCGCUGUUUCCCGGGGUUGAUGAAAAAAAGAAGAGAAAUUGACUUCGUUAGUAGGGAAAUUGGGGUCGCUAUGAAAAAAGCCGUGUUUCGUCAAAAAUGAAGUCAUUUCGGGUUCUCUAUUAAGGGGCCAAGUAACUACUAAUGUGUAGCGGCAGCCAAUAAACAGUUAUGUAGAAGUUAUGACCAAGUCCCGUUUACACCCUACUAUGUGUAUACUGAUUGGGUACUUGAAAAUGUCUUCCACUUUUCUGCUUUAUUUUUGAUUUGUUCUUUCUUGUUUGAUGGUUUCUUUAGACCUACUCUUUCCUGGUCUCUGUUUCUGUCCUAACAGUUCUCCUUCCCGUUCUUGCAACGACUAGUAGAAUGAGUUGAAUACCGAGUGGAAUCAGUUUUCAUAUAUAAGGAGAAUAUAGCAUAUAGUGGGCUUUCCUCUACUUAGUCAGUACUGAGUCAAUGGAACUAAAAACGGAACUGUCAACAACUCUCCCUGACCCUUUAGCGGAAGCCACUAAGUCUGAUCCUGCUUGUUCAAUUGAAACUCUCUUCCCGAUAGCGCCGAGUCAAGCUGGAAAACCAGGAACUCCAUUUUGAGAAUCUAUUGUUGCGGACACUUCUUCUAAUCCUUAUUCUUCUCCAGCUCUAGCCUCUGAUCCAUUGCUAUAGUGGGACAAGAAGCUAAUCCUGUUUUCUGAGGUAUGUCAAUGAUAGAUUUUCCAUGAGCUACCUUGAACAUAGGUGAAAGUUCUCCAAAAGUCCACUAUUGGAUUGGGGUGCCGCUUAUGAUUGAUUGUUUCAUGGUGCGUCGUUAGCUUAUGAGUUGGAGUUCGGACGUGAGCUUUCUUUGGAGGAGUCAGCUGUUAGCUUCAUUAAUGAAAUGACAUGAUAGGUGCACUCAACAAGUAACGGUGCAAUAAUAUAGUACGCGGCAGGGCCUAAAAGCUGUAUCGCACGCCCCUAUUCAGCAAGCAACCGAGCAAGAGCAAGCGAAGUGAGCUUAGGUAGAGCUGCAGUAAGAAGUGUUUCUUUAGGUUACUUAUUUCGAGUAGUUGUCGUGCAGAUUCCAAUAGUUCUUUGGAAGCACCUCUGUUAUCCAAGUUGACACUUUUGCGCCCUCCUUGACUGUUAUCUAAGUUGAUACUUACUCCCUAACCGUUAGCACAACGAACAAGCAAUCUUAUAGUGUUUGACUUCACUUUCCUCCUAUCCUAAUCCUGCUCUUGCUCUACCGAAGUUAAGGGAAUAAUCUUAUUAGCGUUCGUUCACUUAUAGAAGAAAGAAAGAAAGUCAACAACUUGCUAAACUCAUAUCAUGCCACCCCUUACUAACGCGAGCUCUUUCGCACAGUCCGCACAGUGGAACAUUGCUAGUUUAUAAAGCCGUUGUUCUUGUUCCCUUGCUUGUUGAGAAAGCCUAAUUUAUGGCUAUUUUGCCCGUGCCUCUCCAAGUUUCGAAUUGUUCUUGUUCCAGUUCCGCUUACGUAAGCUCUCCAUUAUACAAAGCUUGUUCCCUUGCUUAUUUACUUGGGUGCACAACUUAUGUAAGAUGGUAACAACCCUUACUCUAUUCUAUAUUAGGUAAGAUGGCUAUCUUCUUCUCUUUCUCUAUUCUAUAUUAGUAGGUAGAAAGAAUGGCUAUCUUCUUCUCUUUCGCUGUAAUGCGUGAGUUUUGGAAUUAGCAAACGAACAACCCUAGAAACUUGUGUACUACCCUUUAUUGCCGUAAUUGCCCUCUCUCUCCUCUUAUUGUUAUUGCCGUAAUUCCGUUGCUUGUUCAGGCAUUAAAGCAAGGUUAAGAACAGAAUAUCUUACUUACUUUGAAGCGCUAACAGAAGGAGUGGAAAGCGUUAUAUAAGUUAGCGCAAGAACCAGUAGAACUCAAUAAGCGUAGCUCUGAAUACGAGUGAAGUUCGCCUGAAUGCUACGUUAGUGAGAUGAGAGAGCUUUUGAGAAAGCAAUGUAGCUCUGGUAAAUAAUAGGGAUAUUUAGUGUUUCGCAAUUAGGAGUUAACUUGAACUGGCCUACCCGCGAGCGGGCUACUUGGCUUCCCCUUUCCUUUCGUAACUCGCAACAAACAAGAAAUGGACUAGCUUAGGCUUCUUCCCUAGCGCUUGUUGCUAGCCUUACCAAUAUGGAGGAAGAACGUCAACAAACAGCUUAGUUUCCGUCAAAACUCUAUCACUAAGGCACUUUUACUUUGGCGAACUCUACCACUUAUUACUGAACGAACUCAAUUCUACCACUUAUUGCCCUAGUUUGCGCUGUUCAUAAUACGGAGUCUUUGCGCUCUUCCCUUGUUUGCUUUGUGGAAUUGAAGAAUUGCAUUUAAAGCACAACUCUCAUAUAAGUUGUCAAAGAAUCUAACUCGUAUAACUAAACUAAUAUGGAAUAAUGUAACCUAACUACCUACUCCUGGCUAAACUCAUGGCUCAGAACUCACAUUAGCACAAGAAAUUCGCUUAUGCAAGCAAGCAGUGGUUCACUCCCUAACGCACUUGUUUACCCGUUCUUGCACCGUUUGCGUGCUCAUUUGCCUAAAGCUUUUGUUAUCUACCCAACUGACCUGUGUUUUAAUUGAAUUAUCGAGCACAUGCUAUAAUGAAGUAGUAACCUCUCACUCGGAAACUCCAAUCACUCUGAAACUCCAAUAAGCUAAGGUGGCUUCCGCCUUACAAGAGUUUUUGUUUCAUCUUUGCGCUGUUCCUAGGUUAAGAUAUUCUAUUGUUGCACUCAAUUCCAUGCUUUUCUGAAAUCAAUCAGUUUGUUAUUUAAAGCUAUGCUAUGGUUGGGGACUUAGCUCUAAGCUAUGCUAUGGUUGGGGACUUAGCUCUAUAUGAUGUCUUACUUAUGAAUUCCAAAUUCCAUUCUUUAUACGAUAGAAACAGGAACAGAAAGAGAAAUCCGUACACCACGCUGAAGAAGGUCGGGCAAUUCUCUAAGUCAGAGGGCAAUAAAUCAGGCUUAUAUUUCUCGUUGUUUAAGACAGGGUAAACUCUGCUAAUAAUGGCUAAUCACUUCUUGAAAGACCUCUACUUACCCCUAAAGGCCCUUCUUUUAUUGUAUUUUAGCCUAAACGAGACCACUUAUUUAUUGGAGUUGCUAGCUGGGUGCCCAGCGGAGUUCAACAAGUCAGGAGUCAGGAGUGUUUUGUUAAUCCCCGAAAGUAAUAGGUGUAGAGUUACUUUAUUACAUGAUAGGUGCACGUCAAUACAAGCAAGUGGAACUCCCUAACGCCAACGACAAAAAAAGGAACUCCCCGAAACGAAACGACAACACUAGAUCUAACGGAACUCUUUGGACUACAACUAACUCGGUGUUGGCUGAUGAAGGCUUCUGAAACGUCGUGUAUAGCCUGUUAACUAACUACCCUAAAAAGAGAGACCCUCAUAGAAACUCAGCAACUAGCCUUCCAAUGCAUUUAAGCCUAAUAACAUUUACCUGAGAGUAAGGAAAUGUGUAACGUUCCAUUCUCUUCUUAAGUAAAAGGGGUGCCGACAUUAGUUUUGAAAGCAAUGCUAUGGUUGGUUACUGUCUUCUAUAAGUGGAUAGCGCUAUCCCUGAAUUUAGUAAUAACACAGAACAAGCAAACAUGGAUACGCGGGAGCUUACUUUCAUAAAGAAAACGAAGGCUUGUGGAGUGACUUGUAGCUUUCGAAAGGCCCGGUUCUCUUGCGCAUACAUAUAAGAGAUUCUGAUUUGAGUGCUUUAGCUCUAAAUGGGAAUGGAAUCCAUUACUACCACUAGAACCUUGCUUCUGAGUUGUUCUCCUAGCCCGGUAUCUUUACUUAAUACUUGUCUUAGUCGUUAGUGCAACACUGAAAACUCCCGUUAGCGAGUCUCGAGUUGCUUGUUAAGAAACAGAAGAAAGACGACAAGAAGAUAAUAGGUAAGAGGAAUCCAUCCCACUAAGAUGUAUAGGAAUGACACUAAAAGGUAGGAUCUGUCCUGUGUGAGCCCUUACUACUUGCCUACUUCCACUCAAGCUUGCAACAAACACAGAUGAAACGAGCCCUUACUACUUGCCUACUUCCACUCAAGCUUGCAACAAACACAGAGGAAACCGGGGAUGCAACAACUAAUUCAGGGGAUGACACUCUGAAUCUAUUGGUGGGGAAAGAGGUGCUUCUUCAGCCCUAAGUCAGGUAGGCUCAACCGGAAAGAGAGAUCAGUCUAUACCUUAAGCCCUAAGUCAAUGAGUUGCACCCGUUUAGUGAUUGUAUUCAUCAGCUUACAGAGUUGAGUUAAGAAUUCACUUUCUUGCUCUUUCAUUCCUUGUUUCUCUUGCGAGAUGGGUGAUUUAUUGGUGCUUUUGUUGCGAUUAGUGAAUGGAAUGGGCCGGGCCUGAUUGCCCUUACUUAUAUUACUGUCUGCAGCUACGUUACUUUUCUACUUCUCUGCUUGUCUACCGAACACAGCUUCCCGUUCUUUAUAAGGUUAGCUUGGCCCCUUUCGACUACGGAUGGAGCUCCAGGUGCUACUACUAAGGGGAAUCGGCGUAGUAGUGACUCUUCCGAAAAGGUGGAAAACUUAAGGAGGACUGUUGCUUCCAAUCCAAUAACAUAGUAUAGUUUCUAUAGAGAAUCAAGAGUAUAGUUUAUAUAGAGCCUUUCACCGACAUUCUAUAUUCAAUCUAUGAUGAGGGGAGGGGUUUAGUUAAAACGAGUACAGUUAAUCAAUUUACACGAUGGGUCAAUAAAUGUAAGUCACCUAGAGAAGGAAGAGUGGUGGAACCCCCUCAUGUAUCAGAUGCCCAUUAUAGACUCGCCCCCCCUAGCGUUUUCUAACUUGAUAUUGAAUGACCUGCAAAAGCCAAAUAAAUGCUAUUGUGAAACCGAUAACUCGAUGGCAGACGGAGCAGCAGCCUUACAUCCAUAGGCGAAUCCGCUCCCGUGCAGACGACGGUAUGCUUAACAAUAAGUUCAUUGAGAUACCAUGAGAAUUACCAAUACCUAUAUAUAACAAUAAUUACCAAUACCGAUAUAACAAUAAUGGAGAUACCAUGAGAAUUACCAAUACCGAUAUAACAAUAAGUUCAUUGAGAUAUCAUUAUACAUACCCAUCUCGAAAACCUGGGCCCAGCUACUUAGGGUUCGUCGAGGUUUAGUGCUGUAGAUAGAGUUGUUGAAUCCCGUGGGACAAGGCCUAUUAGGCUUAACGAUUGGAGCUAGACCUGUAAACUUAACUGAACGAAGUGGUAAAACCACCUUAUCUUUAUUCUAGGUCUAUACCCACUUACCCUCCUUUAAUAGCUUUCCGCUUACUCUAAAGGUACUUUGUUUCUGUGCCCCUGGUGUAAAUGAAACUACACCGCCCGAACACAGUAAAUGAAACUACACCGCCCACUAACCAUCUGGUAAGAAGGAGAUUCCGCUUCCUUCCAAGCCCACUAGGAAUAGAGUCCAAAUGCCUUAUACUACUAGGAAUAGAGUCCAAAUGCCUUAUACUAUAUAUUAGAAGUAAAGUAUAUUCUCAAUCUUAGAUGAGUAUCGCAGCAUUGAAAGCGGUAGACUGGUGCUUAUAUCCCGUGAAGCACGAGAGCCUACCUUCUCUGGCAUUCACUAUAAGGCUCCAGAGUCAAUCAUCUAGGAUAAGAAAAGAGAAAGGUUUUUCAUAAAAACAAAACAUAUUCUAUGACUCUUUCCUUUCAAUCGUAAUAUGUAGCUCUUGGGGAGAAAACUCCUGAUACAGUAAACUACUGCUAGCGAGGAAGGGAAUGGGAAGUGGAAAAAGGAUAAGCAAACAGCACUGCAAAGCUGCAUGAGGAUUUCGCGCACUAAGCAGAGUCUUAUAGGCCCUAGCGCGCAGAGCAAUAGUCAGCUACUUUGCUCGAUAAGAAGAAAGACGCUCUCUCUGGUUCUCUCUGGGUCUUAUUCUCUUACAUAAGAAGAAAGACGCUCUCUCUGGGUCUUAUUCUCUUACAUUACAACCGCCCUUGCCACCUCUACUUCUCUAAGAGCAAUAACAAGCUUCAUGUCUAGUGUGAAAUUGGAUCAUGAUUGGUUGAGUCUUUCUUUUAUGGAAAGUUGAUACUCCUCAUUUUGGUCCCCGAAACUCUAAUUUGGAUAAGCCAAGGUUUUCAACAAAAAGAACAACUUUGAAUUGUCUGGGGGCAACCUCUAUUCAAUAGCUUCUAGCUAAGCUGUGAUCUUAUUCCUUUUUUGACUUGGGAUAUUAAGUAAAAUCAGAACUCAUUGGCAAACCAACCAUCUUGGCUAUAUCAUUUCCCGCCCUAUCCACCCCAUAUUAGUUAACAGAUCCAGAGAGUUAGUUAUUAGUUAACAGAUCCAGAGAGUUAGUUGGCGUACCCACAAUGGAAUUACCUGAGCAAGCCUAACCGUACUCUUACUCAUACAGCUCGGGCCUGGCAUAUUCGCAGUACGAGUUUCCCGGUCUAUUUCACUAACUGAAGCUAACCGGGAUCGAAAGCUUUCUUCUCAUGCGGCUCUUGGAUCGAAAAGAGGCUGCUGGACCAAGGCUUCAACUGCCUGGCACGGACGAGCUAGCUGGGCUAAUAGAAUAAUAUCUUACAGGCUUGCUUUGAAGCGCAUCAAUAAGUCAAAAGGAGAUGAGUGUUCGGUCAAGUGUCAAGUGAGGGUUCAGGGCAGAACAUAUGGCGUAGCAGUUAAGGUCAGGGGCAUCAUCCAGUAAAGUUGAAGCGCGUAGUCAAUCAGUAUCAGGGUUCAAUUCAAGUAGACCAGAGAUAGAGGUUAGAGUUCAGUCGACGAGAGAAUCUGAAUCCACCAGUUCCAGAAGAAUAAGUGGACUGAUCUUAUGCAGGUAAAGAAGAAGGAAUGUAUACAAGAGAAUCUGUUGCCCACGGUGCAAAGGAAAGGGAUGCUAUGUAUCUUGACUCAUAUUUAUAUACCAACAAUGUGCUUAAUAUCAAUAUAACCUUUUGAAGCUUCACCCGAUCCCUAUACCUUUGCCUAAGCCUUUGCAUCCGACUUACCCUAACCUUAAUGCUUGACUUUCCCUUUACCCUUGUAGUGGUCGACCAUAGGAACUUAUGAUACACACCACUUCUUGUCUGUGCUUUGAUUAUAGGGUUAUCGCCCAGCCAGCUCUUGAACAUGGGCAUAGGUUAAACGACUCGAAAGUAAGGGUCUAAAGGUACAAAUAUAUUCCUUCUUCCGCUUCUGUAUCAGGUUCUAGUGUUGUUGGUUAAGAAAUACUGUAUUGUUCGGAUAGCCCCCACGUAGCAGUUCUUCAAGUAGAGUUUCAAAGGAAGCUACAAGUGAAGUUGAUUCAGCAAAGUAGAGUUCUCGGGGCAGAAUCAAUUCCUUCCUGAACUUCAAGUCGAGGUCGGAAAAACGAAAUAAGAUAAUACUGGCCGAUUAAGGGCAGCAAGUGGUUCUGUUCUAGGCUUUGUCGUGGAAAGAGGUAAUUGUGCUUGUGUAUAAAGGCGAGUGCUGCUCCCGAAACCAACCAGUACUUUCCCGUCUUUUCAUGAACCCUAUCUUGACUUACCCGAAACAAUACUUCAACAGUCAAAUCUUCUUUCGAGGCGGGCUCAAACCCUUCCCUUCUUUUCGAGUACUUAGUUAGCGGGCUGUAAACAAACCCUUAUCCAUAGCUUAGAGUUCGUUCGACAAAUAAGUCACCUCACGUCACGGCCUGAUGCCAAUAUUCUUAAAGGAAGCAAGCUGUGUUAGGUAUGGAAGGGAGUCUACUAUUCUUAGCUUAGAUACUCGGAUGGCAGCGGGGUAAUAGUAAGGUGAAGGUAAGGCGGAGGCAAAGGCAGAAUGAUUCUGAUUCUCUUUACUACUUUCCUGUCAACCCAUCUUUCGAACACACAAGGACUUCCUGAAGGCUAUAAAGAAAGUAAGGGCAAAAAAAGUAUACCUUUGAGCAUCGUUUAAGCUAGGGGAAACUCAUCUUCUAGGGCUAAUUACCUUGCAGCUAUAAGGGCUCCUCUAGUUCAUUUGAGCCUAAGAACAUUGAAGUAGCACCCAACCUCCACUCCAAUCCAAUAAGUUAACGCGCAAGGGCGAAGAAGGUAAAGUCAAGGGUAUAUAAAGGUAAGGAUUACAUGGCAAAAAAGCAUUUGUAGCAGGGGGGCUGGGGUGUUUUCUUAGAACAGAGGGCAUCAAAGCCAGUCGACGGAGACGAACAGAUGCAGAAAGGACUCCAUUAGAACUCCUUUUCUUCCACAAGAACAGAACUACUAAGAGCUACAGCAGGCCUCAACUGUACAAGAGGGCUUAAGAGGAGCGGGGUCACCUCUGACUCUUCUUACUCGGAUUACCGCGUUCCAUACUCAACACCUAUAUUUAGAUACUCCACCUUUCCCACGGGCAACUUACCUAUUUGUUGAACCGCUCACUCCAAAGCGAACUGCUCACUCUAUUACCCCACGUAGCUGAGCUGUAAGGCCAGAAUCUAGUACAGUACUGGCUUUGAAGCGCUAAGUCACUGAUAGCUCUGAUUCAACCACUCCGGUCCCUCAGUCUACCUUUCCUACCUAAAAUCUACAUUGAACCUAUUAGCCUACCUUUAUGAACUAGAAUUAUGACUAGAACCUUGUCUCGACCUGUCCUUCUUAUCUAUUAGUCUUCCUUUGCCGGCUACCAAUCAUAUUCCUCACUACUGAAACGAAUCUCCUUACUUAUCCAAUUGAGUAUACCUUCCCUGCUCGAGGUUUGCCAUUGCUUUGUAUCAUUCUAUAACUACUAGUUUUACCAGCUACCAGCCUUGCUCUACUUCUUUUCAGGAUCCAAAUACCGUCUUAUAAGAUUGAAAUACCGUCUUAUAAGAUAUAACUAAGAUAUAACACUCUUAUUAUCAGAGUUGUACUUAUUUAUAUGGAUUUACUAUUCAGCCGACUAAGACAACAACUAGUAAACUAAUCAGAAUCCGCCUACGACUUAUGAGAACUAAGCUAGAAACUGAGCCUUUAUCCCUUGAACUCGAGUCAAACCUCCUCUCAUUCCCUAACAGCUGAUCCGGAUCCUAGCUAUAUUGCCUAUGAACCUGUCCUAUGAGCCUGCCUUGCCCCACUUGCAUUUCUUUAGCUAAUGAUCUCGAACCUUUGAUCUAUCCGCUUAUUUGAAGUCUGCAGCUACUGGUUCUCAUUCUUUGAUGAUGAGCUGUGAGACUAGGAUCGAGUACUAAUUAGGAUCUAUAGUACUAAUAUAGUGUAUCGUCCAGGGUUAGCGCAUCUAUUAAUAGUAAUCAAAACUGUAAACCAAGCCUUAUUCACCGGCGGCCAAGCCCUUACUUAUUAAUUAAUUGAACUCGCCAAGCAACCCUACUAGCUCUGGGACUUGAACUCAUGCCUUACAAGCCGCGGCUCUAAAGCCUUAGCAGUCAGGAGAGUUUACUGUAGCCUGUACAUUGCUUGGCUGUAGUUUGUAGUCGUUACUUUUCUCUUUUCAUUAUUGAUUUGCUUCUUCUACUUGCUACUCAUAUCCGGACUUUUGAGUAUAUUGGCUUCUCCUCUGCUGCACACACGCCCAUAUUCUUUUACUAAUGUAUUGAGUCAAUGCUCAUUCUGGUACUAGUGGAUUGAGUGCGGGUGCUCACCACCCUAAGUAUGAUAAUGUCCUAGAGCGUACCACCCUACCUUCCACUAUUAGGCUUAAAGCUCCAUAUUUGUAGUAUUAGUUGACUUAGAAUAGAAGGCUGACUUACUUGUUUGAUUAUAGUUAUCAGUGGUUGUAUUGAAAGAAGCAAGUAGGAGACUUAAAGCGAGUAAGGGCAGCGUCAGCUGCCUGUUAGUAUUUGCAUAUAGGCUUUUCCUAGUCUUCUAUUCUAUGGUGCGCUAUUUCCGUCUGUUAGGCAUUGGUUUGACUCCGUAUCAGCGUUUGGAUUCCCAGCUAGUGGGUGAAGUCUAAUAAGUAUCAGCUCCAUUCUAGUUAGUAUUGGUUCAUCUUAGUAUCGGUAAUGGAAGCACUAGCUUUGGUUUCAAAGCAAGUCAAGCCAGCCUCUAUCUCGGGCAUAGUAGGCAUUGAUGAGUUAAUAACAUAGUAGGCAUAGGAUUACAGUUGCUUGUUUCAGUCCAGUUAACCCAGGUGCUACUCUUUGUAUAGGUAGUGAAAACCUAGUCAUACUCUUUGUAUUGGUAGUUAAAGCCUUAGCCCCUUAGUGAAAAUCUGUAUAUUCUAUUUCAAUGUCUUAGAGCUUAGCCUAGCCCGGUAUCCCUACUUCUUUGUUCGAUUCCGACUUGUGAGUUGUUUUCUUACUACUUAUUUUCAUUCUUGGUUAUUUGUGGGGAGUUCCCAUUCCCGUACUACUUAUUUCCAUCCUGUAGUUAACUACUAUUCGACUUGCCUUUAUUAGUAGAAGAACCUCCCCAGUGGGUUCCAAGCCAAGCCCUAUUCUAUGCCUCAGCUGCCCUUGUCUAUAUCGAUGUUCGAGCCUUACUUAUUAAUUGGAAUAUGACUUCCCGGCUAUCAGUACGAAAUCCCUAUUAUCAGACUGCACCCAAUAACAAUACAAUAAGAGAAUUGAGCUCACAAAAGAAAGACUAGACUUACUUGAAAACUUGAUCUGUGCUUUCUAGAGCCCAUUGCUUUAUCUCAUUCUCACCACCCAUAGGAAAGUCUGCCUUCGACUUCUUGGAUUCCCUCUCGCAUAUCAAUAAGAGUUGUCAAGUGCCGGUGCUUCUGAAAGUGCUGUGUUCGCCUAUUAUUGAUAUCAGUGGUGACUUGUCCAUUAGUUGUAGUUUGGCUAGUAGUUACUUUGCCCUGUGUUUUGGGCCUGUGUUCUAGGCCUUGUCUAUCCGUUCCUUGGCUCAUAGCAAAUAGAUAAAGUGGUCGACUCUCCUGCUGAAGCUUAUUGGUAAGAAAACUACAUAAGUGAUGUUUCGGUCAUAUAGGUCAGAUGAGUGCAAUUCAGAGUCCCCGAACACAGGACUUAGUUGGAGGCCAGGAAGCUAUAAGUACAGAGAAGUUCAGUAAAAGUAUCUUUCCGGAAGUUCACCAGGUAAUUAUGCUGCCUCAGAUCUAGUAUUGAGCUCCCCAGCCGCGUAACCGAACACAGGACAAUGAAGCAAGUCAUAAUCUUAGAAUGCAGUUUCAGAGUUGAAGUUAGUUUGAACCUCUAGGUUGCGGUAAAUCAGGGUAGUAAUGAAUUCUUUCCCCAUUAGUAGUAGAAAUCUUACCGGUAGUACUGCUCUGGUUCUUGUUGACGAACAAAGGACUCGCUUCUAACUCAUACUAACAUCGGCUAGACAGUUGAAAACAUUCCUUCCAAAGAAAGAACACAGGACCACUGACUUAAGGCUUACUACUAACUAGUUCCACUCUUUCUUCUCUGGUCAACAGUAGCAUUCUUUCUAUCUUAUAUAGGAGCCCCGGUGAGCAACUGUAGGAGUGAGUUCAAAACAUCUAGUAAAGCGUGACUUGCGUGAAGCAAUGCAAGUGGAGCAAUUAUUUCUUCUAGGCCUUUGAUGCGAGGUAUAGGUCUACUUCAGACUAGUCUCUUUCUAGUGGUUGUCUUAGAGAGAGGAAGCCAAGCCCCCCUUAGAGCGAGAAAUCUCUUGCUUUUACUUGGAAAGAAGCCUUCUUGCCUGAACUGAACCUAUCUUCUUCAUCGCCUCGCCCAGCUGCUAUUCCUUUUGAACUUGACUUUCUACCUUUCUUGUCAACGAGAUCUGAACCUGGAGCAGGAAAUGAUGUAUCUGUUCGAGGUGAGGAGUAGAGAGAAGAAACUUGAUAAGGGGCUUGAGCAAGAGAUGGAUCUGAAUCCGGAUCCUCAGCUGUGCCAAAGUAAGCUGCUGUUAGAGUGGAGAUUGGAAAAAGAAAAGAAGAAAGUACUUGCUUUGAAGCGAGCUAAAGGAGCGUCAGAAUGAUAGUAAAGAAAGUAAGCCUCAAAGUCAGGGUACAGCAAGAAUAGUCUAAGGGUGGGGAAGGGAGGCAGCUUUUAGGUCAGCAGCGAAAGUUCUAUUUAUAAGAACGAGUAUUGUUGGCAUUGGGUUCGGUCUUGCUUUUGCUUAUCGAGUUCUAUAUUAUAAGUUGGGGUACGAGGUUCUACUCUGCAUCUCCCUUGUUGGAUUCCUUGAGUUAGUAGUGACUUUGCGGGUUCUACUACUGGUUUUGCUUGUCUGCUUGGCUGUUUCGGGUGCGCCUUAAUAUUUAGUUGUUGAUUCAGAAAAUAGAGUUCUAGAUUCAAUACGAGUGCCAUAAGAAUCAUCAUAAGGUGGCUGGGUAAAUACUCAAAUCUAUACUUGGUGCUUUAUGGAUGUCAUUUCAUUCUUCCACUUUGACUUUAAGGGAGAGGUGGGGAAAGAAAAGAAUCAAAGGUCAUAGAGAUGGGGAAGCUGUGGUAUUUACUGAUUUCUAUACACCGCGGAAGAAGGAUCAGAUGCUUUAUCUGGAUCUGCUGCUGUUAGGUAUAUUGGUUUUGUCUCAAGUAAUAGGUCGGCAAAAGAAACGAAAGAUGUAAUUAAUCCUUUGACUUGUUCGGUUGGUUAAAGAAUGGUUUAUUUGGCUUGCACCUGUUGCUCGGCCAGUUCCAGUUCAUGUUUAAGAAAAGCGGUUCAGAGAAUAAAGAAAGGGAAAUGAAGCUAAUGCGGUUCGAAUGCAUGGAACGAAACUCAAACUUGAACUCAAGCCCUCGCACUUAACCUCCAAAAAGGGAACUGGAUGAAUGGGAGAACUAGCUAGCCUCUAUUCUUAGGACCAUUCCAUUGAACCUAGUAUAAUAAUGAAUCUUUCACUUAUAGGGCACAUUCCACCUCUUCACGUACCAGAUGCUUUAAACAUUCCAUUCUUGGCGCUUUAUUUACUAAUUUCCAGUUUCAAUGAAGUCUUUGAUUCGGCAAAGAAGUAAGCAUAGAGGAGAUUGGUCAAGCCCACGCAUCCGUUAAAGUGCUUGAGUAGUAUCGUCUCCGGGCUAUCAAAAACGAAGACGAUUACCCAGCCUCUGAAGGUCUUCGCCCAUUGCACCGGUAAGAUCUGAACAUAGCUUAUGUCGAGCUUACCCACCUUUCCGAAGAGAUUAGAUUGUUGCAAAAGCCAUUGCUUGAAGGCCAUGAAGUUGUAGAGAGGGUAGCAAGUAGUCGUCCUGUUUCAAAAGAGACUGUUCGAGUGAUAGGAAUUGUGAGCCUACCUUUAAGGAUUGCUAGUAGAAGUAUAAGACUCAGAAUGGAACUAAGUAGUAACAGUAGAGGCCUAUAUACGAAGUUUCGGGCUUUCCCCUUGUAUACGAGUUAGGCUCGGGUGCUUGUGUUAAGCAAUGAUACAAUCUAUCUCUUUUGUAGGCUUGUCCCCUACUUAAUUCAUGAUUAUCUUAUUAAGGAUUGAGUUUCGAAAGAGAGAAGUGCUGUGUUCGUGACCUAAGUAGUAAGGAAACCAGUAAGUAUCGGCUUUGAAGCAGAAACGCUGUUACUGUAGCGAUGGGUAUCUGUCUUCUUACUCUGUUCCGUAUCCAACUCCUGUUCCUUAUCUUUAUUAGACUAAUGUAAGUCAGCAGCCCUAUAUGGUGUUGUAGACGAGAGAAGAUCUGAACCAGUGUGGUAUCAGUGCAAGCUUGAAAAGACAUAAUGACCAACUCAGUAAGCGCCUUUUGCCAAGCAGGACUCCUUUUUGCCUGGUAGAAUCCUUUGAGUAGGGACAAAAACUGGAGUAGUAAGUUACUUCACACUGUAUUAGUACUAAGAGCCAAGCCGACAAGAUGGAGCCUCUGGCUAAUGAUUCUGUUCCUGCCUUCGAUACUGACUUCCUUGAUCCAGCAUCUAAUGAUCCAUCUUAGACUUCUGCUCUUGCUCCUGUUUCUGCUCCACCGAAGUGUUGUGCAGAAUCGAGUGUACUGGUUUUUAAGCGAGUAGUCACUUAUCUCCUUGCCUAGUAGUAGCUUGGCCCCCGCGAAAAGGGCUGUUUUUGCUUCACUCUUUUCCUUCUCUUGCUUCGGUAUCAAAGCCUUUACUCUUUUCAUUCUUAUUUAUAGAAGUAGAGAGGUAGGGUUUCUAGAAGUAUAGAGGUCGGGUCAGGUGCUAGUGUUUCAUGAGAAGGGAGUGGUGAGUUACUUACUUAACUGACUUCAAAGCGGCUUCCCAUGGCUGCUAUUCCUACAGCACAGUCUUUGAUUCUCCCAAUUCCCCGUUUCAGUCUUAAAAGAAAGUACAAGUUUGAUUCCCGGUUCAAAGCGAUAGUCCUGUUAGCUACAGUUCCAUUUUCUAUUCUUGUAUUAUUACUUAUAGUGAGUAGCGGAAGAGUGAAUGGUGAACAUAGGUAUUGAAGGCAAGGUCCUAGCGAGGCCAUAUUUGAUAUAAUUAACUACAGAAUUGAGUCAUGGAUAAAAAGAUUAGAAUAAAGGCGCAAGGACAGCUUUGAAGUAAGUAAAGCAAUGUAAGUUUGCAAAUCCGUAGUUAAGGAAUAAAAGCUAGGUUCUAGUACACUGCUGCUGGGGCUGCUACUGGUGUUGCUAAGGCUUCAACCCGUACUGCUCGGACUGAUCUGUUAGGUACUAAGAGGUGAGCUAGAGAGGUGAGCUAGCCCUUAUUAGCAAGUAAGCCUACCAAUCCGUAGUUAAAGAGUUGAACUAAGAGGUGAGCUAGUACAUCCGGUUGCUAUUCCCACAUCUGUUAUUGAACAACCAGUCUUAACCCAGUGCCAGCAAGACUGAACCGAGGUAGUUCCGGACUAAGACAACAGCUACUCGGGCUACAACCAGUGCUUCCAAGCCUGCAGCUAAGGAGUGAUAGGCUUCAACCGGUGCAUCUAAGAAUCAACCCAGUAUAACUCAGAAUUGACCUAAGCAAUCUAAGACAGGUCUUCACUCCGAUGUCACUAUUACUAUCCAUCCGGUCUGCUUCAAGGAAAAGAGGUAGGGACAAGCUACUACUACCAAUUACUAGGCUCAGAAUGCAACCACUACAAAUAAGGAUGAAACCAGCGAGUGAAAGAGUGAAACCAGUCAAUCAAUACAAGACACCCACUAGUGCUAACAAGAACGAAACAACUAACAACAAGAAUCCAACUAGUAGGCAUCAGACUGCACCGAGGGAGUUACAGGCUCUAUCUAAUGUUGCCUAGGAAGGGAGAGCGGGGGAGGUCAGAAUCCAACUCAGUAGUAUAAGAAUGAAACGAGUUUAAUAAAGUGAGAAUGAAAGUGAACCGGAGGAGUCUAAUGGGGGGUUAAGCGUGGGCAAACACCUCUUCUUUUAGCGCCAACCUCUAUUGCUUCUUAAGUGGGUUUCAAGGAACAGUAGGCUUAGUCUCUUUCUCACCUCUAAUGAAACUAGCUAAGCUAUAGGGCAGUCAAGUUGGCAAUCUCUCAAUAUGAGAAUUCUCUUACUAUGCGGAUAACAGGAGCGCCACUCAGUAGCCCAUAAAGUCAGGGGCUUGGAAGCGAGGGUUGAGGUCAGUAAAGGAAGUCUGAUUUCUUUGUUUGACUCUUUCCGGUAUUUUGGUUGAAUUCUGCUAGCAAGCCAGUAUAGUUAGAUCCCCAUUUAUGAGUUCUCAUAUAAGGUCAGGUUCCUGGGCGUUAUUCUAUUCCGAUUGUCGGUUAGUUAAGCCUGAGUUCCCAGUGAAGGUCUCUUAGUGCGCUGCGCAGUUUGACUCUUUGACUUUGCUUGGUCGAUCCUUGUUUGCUAUUGAAUUCCGUUCUUCAAUCAAUGUCUCCUUAGUUCUCUUACUUUGUCCUUAGUUCUCUUACUUAGUAGUUGGAUUCCCUGAUACGCCUACUUAUUCUUGGACUGCUGACGUUGAUUCUUACUUGAGAGUUGGAUACCCAUCAGUAGUGGUUACUUUGCUUAUGGGGGCGGUGUCGCAUUCCCAGUUAGGAGUUGUCCUAUAAGCACCAGUUUUAGUCUAAGCCGGCGGGGGGGCAGUAAGUAAGGCUCCAAAGUCUGUGUUGCAGAAAUAAAGUAAGGCAAGGUAGGCUCAUAAGCGAUAGUGAUAGAAUGAAAGUAUGGGUGGCAUAAGAAAGAAAGAACGAACCGAGACUUGGGCUGCUCUUUUCCUAUUAGUAGAUGCACUAUAUCGUCCCCGUAUUCUACUUAUACUUAGUUUGUUUCUAUGUCCUACUACUUUUGAUUAUUACUGGUAUUCUUUUAUACCUAUACCAUUUCCCUAGAUUGUAGAAUCAGAUAAAGCAACGUCAAUUUGAAACAAUAGGAUAGGAAUGAAGGUCUGCAGUCGCAGGCCUAGAGACAGGGAUAUCCGUUUUUAAGUCAGCAGCAUAAGAAUCCAAGUGAGUAGUUAAGGGAUGGAAGCAAGUAAGGGAAGCUCAUAGGCAAUAAAGUCAAGUCGGAGUCAGUGGCCGCAGGGGGCAGCCUUAGUUCCUAGUAUAGGUCUUUGUGGUAAUAGGUUCCCAUUCCUUUUAUCGAUAGUUGGUUUCCCAGUUUCUUGUUAUAGUCUCUUAAUAGUGGUGUCAAUUCUGCAUUCUGAAGUUCCGUCUUGUGAAGGUCGCUUCUAUGUUCUAUUGCCCGCCAAGCAACAACUAUAGUUUCUGUAAGCAGUUAGAUUACCAGCGGAGUUUCAUUCUUAACUACUUGUGAGAUACAGAGUACUAGGUGGGUGAGAAAGAGAUCAGUAAAUUCUGACCUUAGAGUGGAAUUCUGUAUUGAAUGAAAUUAGGACUUACCAGUAGUUGUGUUGCGGUAAGUUAGUAUAUUGAAGUUCAAGAGGUCUUUCUUCUUAGAGGAUCGGAGUAGUCUUAGUAGUCUUCUUUGUCUUAUACUUAUUAGUCUAAUGCACUAGAUCAGGACAAUUAGUUGACCUAUAGCCACCGAGAAUGGAGCUGCUAAGCGAUAGAACGAAACAAGGUAGUUACAGAAUCGAACCAGUCUGUAUCAGAAUGGAGCUAAGUUGACUCAGACUUCACCCUUGCCCACAGAUUGCCCGCAUCUAUAGUAUAAGAUCCAUUGGUAUCAAUUCCCCGCUGCUAGUACUAGCUUGGUAGUUAACAGAGGAGAGGUCAGCAGACAAUAAGAAUGGCCCGCGAGUCGAGGUAGUCCAGGUCGAGGUCAAGUGGAAAGUUACGUUCUUUUGAGCAACAGUAGGAGUGAGGCCAAGGAAAAGAGGUUCAAUUAUGAGUGGAGAGAAAGAGGUGCGGGUUGGUAAAGAAUCAUAUAGAUCAGAGGCUAGAUCCGAGGAGAGAGAGUCAAGGGAAUCAAAGAAAUGAUCAAAACAAUUAAAUGAAUCAAUUUCACAAAUCACAAAUAAUCCAGAAAACUAGUGAGAAAUGACUUGGAUUUCUCAUAUACUCACUAAGUAGACACUCAGUAGCUUUAAACAUAUAUUGUAAUAGAAAGAGUGGAGCGGCCCCAAAAGCAUCUAUUGUAAUAACUUGUAAUAUAUGUUACUAUUGCUACCGCCCAACGUCUUGCGCCGCCUAAAACUCACUGCCGCGCCACGUUAGUAGUGUCUUGGCGGUCGUUAGUAGUUGCUUGGCCGUUAUAACUGUUUAUUGGCUGCCGCUAUUAUAGCUCGCUGACGCGACAGCGAACACAUAGCUAGUAAUAACAGUUUAUAACUUACUAUUGUUGUUACUGCCGCACAACGGCUUGCGCCGUUGCUUGGCGUCUAGUAGUUACUUGGCCACUGCCGCUACACAUUAGUAGUUACUUGUCCCAUAGAAAUUCUAUCUGUUAUUAUUAAAGAUAGCGUUUAGAAAGAUCUUCUUAUUAAAGAGAAAGUGGAAGCGUCCUAGGUUGAGAACGAGGGAAGAAUGCUUUAUACCAUUAUACCACUAUCAGAAAGGAACGAGCCGACGCCAAACACAUAAUAAACAAAUCAAAACUAAUCACUAUAAUCAGAUGGAAUGAAAGGUGGACCAUUGCCCGUGCCCUUGAUUAAUGCCCUGAAGAUAUAGGCUUUAAAUGAAUUUAUUGAACGAGUAAGAGAAGUAGAUGAGCAAGAGUUAGAUGAGACAGAGUUAGAUGAGAUGGAUCAGAGGAAAGAGUAGGUCUAAAGAAAUGAGAAAAACCACUUUGAUUUCUUAUGUACCUACUAACUACACAAACAGUAGCCAAAAAGCACUAUCCAAAUAUCUCUCCUUAUUAAGGAUUGAGUUUCGAGAAAGAUCUUCUUAUUUAUUUUAUUAAAGAGAAAGUUGAGAACGAGUCCAUUCCUGUGUGUGUUUCGGGGGGAACUAUAUAGAAUUAGUUGUCGACUUGCCUAGGAACACUAGCUAAGGAGCCCCGGAAAUCAAGAAAUGAUCAAAGAGAAAAAAAGACGAAAGAGCCAAGACACGUGUGUCGCGGCAGGUCCGCUCAUGUUUUAGGGCGAAAAGAGAUCUUUCCUAUCUACUGACUAAGUACGCAAACAGUAGGGGAAAAGUCAUAUAAAUUCUAUAUGUUAUUAUAUGGGAAACCUGAUUCCACUAGGGUCGGGGCAGACUAUCUUACAGGCUUUGAGGCGAGUUCGGAUAGCCCAGGAGUAGUUAGUUGACAGAGCCAUUGUUGAGGCCGGGUCGGGUAGUCAAAAGAGAGUACCUUCUUCGGGUAGUCAAAAGAGAUUACUUACUUGUUAGGGUAGUCCUGUGCGAGUGAGAGUUUAGGUUGGAAAUGCAUAAAGUAUCGGCUUUGUUGCGAGGUAUCUGCUACAGGCAAGCUUAUACUAAACUAGUCCUUUUGCCCUUUAGUAAUUGAAGCCUCUAUGGCAACUCGGGAUUAUUAUAAGAUGUAAGAACCAAGUCCUGUGUGAACCUGUCCUGUCCUAGGUACGAAAUAGAGAUCAAAGAACCUGUCCUGUCCGAGGUAAUUGGCUUAAGAACAAGUGCUUCCUUGCCAGUGUCAUCUGUCUUUGUAGUUGUAGCUAGAGGAUGGAGAUUGGGUGUUUCAAGUCUUGUUGAGAGUGUUGGUACUUACGCUCUAGGGUAGUGGUGGACUUCAGUUACUCGGGUAGUUAACAUACUUUGUGGGUUAGGUUAGUUGGUAAAGAGAUUCUGUUUGUUUCUUUCUUUGCUUGCGUUUGUGGUAUAUGCUAGUUGGGUGCAUAGUUUCAUAGGGGCUGUUGAAGAACUUCUAUUAUAUAUAAGAUUGAUGAUAAGUGGGAAGAUAGAAGAUAAGUAGUCAUGUUGUGAACUGUGCACUUGUAUAUAAGGGGAGUAGAAAGAUUCCUUUGUUUUCAAGGGGAGUGGGAAGAUUCCUUAAAGAUUGAUGGUCGAAUACUUCACUUUUGGAUGGGUAGGUUCGGUUCGGGUAGUUAACAUACUUCAUAGGCAUGGGUAGGCUUGUUUACUUACUUAGUUGACAGAGGAGUAGUGAGUAGUAAAGGAGUGGAAAUAGAAAUAUAAGAAUUCUUAGUUGACUCGGUGUCAGCAGCAGUGAGAGUGGAAUACCGAUCCUGUUACUGUCCUGAUGUUAAUGGUGAUAGUAAUAAUCCCGAGUGGAAUAAGUAGACAAGCCCUGGGCAAGCUAGGGAAGCAGUUUAGGAGGUAGACUUAAUGAUCAGUAGCUCCGGUAGAAGAGAAAGAAAGAAGAGCACUUUCUUAGUUUACAGAGGAGAGGAAAGGGAGAGGAAAGAAUCAAACCGGUGCAUCCAAGGCCUAAACAGUGGAGUGACAGCCUGAAAGCGAGGUGAGCAAGCCUGAUUGAAAGUCGUAUAAAACCCAUGUUUGUUCAAGUGGAUCAACUGCCCCCUUAUACAUAAAUUGUGGUAAAGUCAAUAUCAAGGGAGUUGGGACAAUCAGAUCUUUGCUAUCAGGCAAGCUACUCCGAUACUAAGAUAUAGUAAGAGUGACUUUAAACAUAUGUAUUUUCUUGUAUAGUUGCAAUAGGUAAGAGGUCGAGGCGGGGCCAAACAACUACCGGAUGCUAUAUAACCAUAAGAAUGAAUUGAAUGGAAUUAGUUGACUUUCCCAAUGACUUAAGGGCUUGAACUCAAUCCACUUGUUGAAAAGGUAAUAAGGCGGGCUUUGAAGCAUAAUAAAGAUAUUAGGCAGGAAUCAGAGGUGUUGCCGUUCUCAAAAGGGAAGCUGGCUACUUACUGAUAUAUAUACCUGUUGCCUAGUUUCUUGUCGACUCCGGGCCAAGUCACCACUAAAAACAGCCAAGUCGACAACUAGGUGAAUUCUUUGACUACUGUAGGUCUCUUCCUUUCGGGAUUCUAUUUCCAUUAUGUAAUUCCUAUUUGUGAGUUUCAUUCUGAUCUAGUAGGUAAAUGUGGCAGAUUUGUCAUAGGAGUAGUAAUUCUUAUCUGAGUAGUUUUCAUAGGUAUACUUCGGCAGAUGGGUAAUAACCUGUUCUGUAGAGUUCCAGUCUUGGAGAUUUGAAUCGGUCACUAGCUGGGCAGUUGACAGAGGUAGACUCAAAAGAGGUGUAGUUAGGUGAGUAGAUGAGCCUCAUUAAGUGAAUUGUUGCCCUAGGUAAGAGGUCGGGGUUUCAAUUCAAUCCUUAUUUCUCAAUAGGAGAUCCUUAUUUAUCAAUAGGAGGGGUGUGAUGUAAUAGAUGUGGUUGCCUAGCCUUAGGGGUCUCAUAAGAAAGAAAGACGAGUUUAGGUCGGAAAGGGAAGUUCAUUAGUUUUCUCGUUAGUUUCAUCUGUAUUUGUUGACAGUAGAUGUUAGGCUAAUGGGGUAGUUUAAUCCCCAGUGGAGAAUCCUUUGUUUACUUCGGCAAGAUAUAGAUCCAAUUAAUUCUUUGUUGAGCCAGAGGUUGCAUAGAAGUGAUAAGAGAUUCAAAAGUCAGUAAAGUAGAUUUCCCCACCUUAGUAACUGAGCAAGAGGUGAGGCAGAAGAGAACUGUUUUUGGCUCCCCUGCCGCGCAACACGAACAAAGGAACGAAACCAGGGACUGAAAUCACUGUUAGCAAGAAAGAGAGGAGAGCCUAAGCUGUAUUCUUAUCAGAGGAGUUACAGAGCAAGAGGGUCAAUCUGAUAGGAAGAAAUGCAUUCUAAGGACAGUUGAUUAGUUUCAUGGGAAAUACUUCUAAAAACAGGAAAGAUUAGAAAUAAAGCAUUUGGAGCCUAUAAAGCAGGGCAGACCAGACCAUUCUUUGAAGCGCGGGUAGUUUACUUACUUGGUUUACUGACUUUGUGGUUCCUGCACUGAUCUGGUUUACUUCCUUCAUUCGACUAGCUAACCUGCCUCUCGUAGUCCUGUCCCCUUAAGUAAUUGCCCGGGUUUUGUUAAAAAGUAUCUUUCUUGUUCUGGUUUCAUCCCAGUAGUGGUAGUCCCGAUGAAUCAAUUUAGAAAUAUGAAAUAAAUCAGAAAAGCAACUCAUCUUUCCUGCCUAUCUAUUCAGUAGACACACAGUAGGGAAAUAGUAGGGAAAAAUAUAGGUUAAUUCUAUAUGUUAUUAUAUAGUAAAUCAGAAUGCAACCACUAGAUCAAAGAAUCAAACAAGGGAGUGAAAGAACCAAGCCAGUGCCAACAAGAAUUAACCAGGGCAGUGUAAGACUGAGACAAGGGAGUGAUAGACUCAAACAAGCAAGUCAAAGAAUCAAACCAAUGCUACUAGGGCUGAUACCGGUGCCGGGCAGACUAGCUCUUAGGUGUUACAGGCCGAUGCUUAGGUGUUACAGGCUUCAACCAAUCAGUACGAGAACCAAACAGGGAAGUGCAAGCCCGAUAGUAGCUAGUAAGCCCACCUAUUAAGUGAUAGAAUUGACCUAAGUAGUCAAAGAACCAAGCCAGUGCCAGCAAGAACCAAACUAGGGAGUGACAGACCAAAAGCAAGAAUCAAACGCACACCAAUCAGCCUGAAACAAGUGAGUUACAGAAUCGAACCAGUCUGUAUCAGAAUGGAGCUGAUGAGGGAUAGAAUUGAGCUGCUAAGUGGAAGGCUAGUACUAUUGCUUGCCAGAGUUAGAGGAGAAAGAGGAGAGGAAAGAAAGAAACUGGGGUAUUGCUAUUACUGGUAUAGCACUUAGAAUUUCACUAAGUCCUUGGAAUCUAAAUCUACCAAUAAGUAGGGCAGGGUGUCGAAAGGAAUCUUCUAUUUAUUAUAAAGAAAGAAAGUAGAGCCAGAGUUCAAAGAGAUGGAUUUGACUACUUGCUGAACACUAGUCGUUACUUGGCCGGGAUGAAACAAUAAAAAGAAAAGGAAUACUACCAACGCGAAGAAACAUCAUUAUUAGACGCAGAGGCAUAAGAGAAGAAGGAACUAAACAAACUACAGGAGCACAAUGAAACGAGUAAGUCAUAAUGAAACUGCAAGGGAAGAAACUAAGGAAUCAGCCAGAUAUCCGAGAGAAUGAGCUAACACUUCGGCAGGUAGGUGCUUGGCAAGUGGAGUUCCGCUAAAGAAUCAAGUCCUGGUAAGAAACUAGGGCUUAUGGAACUUCGGCAAGGAAAGCAGUUCCGUCUGAAGGAGAGGUAUAGUUUACUUAGGUAAGAGUUCGGGUCGGGUAUUGGAUUACUGACUUAGUUGACAGAGGAGCAAGCCAGAGUGAUAGGAGAAGAAUUAAGGUCUAGUUGACAGAGCAGAGCCAGUAGUUUAUGAGUGGAAUACCGAUCCUGCUGUAUUAGUAGGUGGCCUGGCUGACCUGAAGUUAAUGGUUAGAGUCUACUUCAAGUGGUUUUGAAUGACUUUAUUGUGGAAUACUGAGUUUACGAGUUGGGGCAAGAAGAGAUGUAGCUAGAUCGAGAUCAUAAGGAGUUAGAGUUAAGUCGACCAAAGAAGAGAGAGGCAAGGAGAAAAGCAUUAGUUGUUAUUACAAUACCAGUACCCUUAAGUAAUUGGCGUCAGUCACGGGGGCUUUUCUGUCCUGUGCUGUGUUCGAGCGGCUGUCUGGGCAAUGAGGAAAUGAAGUGUUUGUUGACAGAGGGAUACGGAUACCGAAGAAGAAUAAAGUCAAGGCUUUGUUGCAAGCUUGAGUUGGAGUAGGCAAGUAGUAAACUCAGAAUUGACCUAAGGAGUCCAAGGCCAAGCUACUGGAGUACUUGAUCAGAAUGUCCCUAAGCAGUAUCGGAAUGUCCCUAAGCAGUAUCGGACUGAGACAAGUGAGUUACAGAACCAAACCUAGGAGUGACAGAAUCAAACCAUGAAGUGGAAGCCUUAAAGCCAGGGUGAAAAGAGCAUAAGUGGAAAGCAAGAAUGCACCUAAGGAGUCAUAGAAUGAAACUCACACCCAGGAAGGUAAGAAUGAAGAAUGUAACUAAGCAGUCCAAGAGUGGAGCUAUCAUGGAACUAGUCAGUAGAAGCCUGUUUCCCUGCCCUCUCUGGCUCUGUCAACAAUUCUGAAUUCUUAUUUCUUGCUAUAGUCCUGUUGCUUGGCUCGUUGCCUUUGUAGCAGUGGCUUGGUCGUUUCUUUCGAGUGAGCAGGAUAAUCUUAAGUUUCAAGAGCAAGAGCGGAACGACUAUAUCUGUCCUGUAUUCGACCACUUAUUAUAUUCUAUUAUAUUAAAGAAAAGAAGAAAGUAUCGGCUUUGAUGCGGGGUUGAUUCUGUAAGUAGUCAGUCGGGUUGCUAGUAUACGGGUGGAUUCUUUAGUUAGUUCGGGUCAGAAAGGGAAGCAAUGAGUCUACCAUUUAUUAUAAGAUCAGAGGCUAGAUCCGGAGCUGGCUGAGUCUUAUUGAAUGGUGGAAGAAGAGGAGGUGGGGUCUCAUGCUGGGCUUGUUUAAAGUUAGAGCCAAGCCGGCAAGCUACUACUAGGAGCAAGAGGCGAGGUAAAGUACUGGAUCGGAACGGAAGAAACUUAAUCAUUAGCAAGAGAAUAGGAGUAAUCUUAAGGAUCAGUAGAAAUAUCAGUAUACGCUUGGCAGUUUACAGAGCCCGGGUAGCAAGUAGUGAGAUUAGCCUCAUUCAGUUAUAUAUAAUAGAUGAGCAAGAUCAGAGGAGAAAGAGUUAAAAGAACCAACCAGAGCAAUGGGUCAGAGGUGUGGGCAAGGGGCAGAGUCAAUUACUUGCUUUGAAGCUAGGUGUGAGCGAGGCGAGGAAAGGAGUAAACGUCUUCUUGAAACAACCAGAAUGAAUUGCCUUAAGGCGCUUCUAAGCUUUCUGUUUGGCUCUGAUCACUACUAUUUCCAUACUAUUAUUAUUAUUGAUCUUAUUAAGGAGAAAGUUGAGAAAGAUAGAAGUGCUGUGUUCGACAACCCUUACCUCUGCUGCCAACUAGAAUGCAACUCACUCCAAUCAGACUCCAGCACUGCCUACUAAGCCUCCAACAAGUGCAUCCAAGGCUUAAACGAGGGUGUUACAGAACCAAACCAAUGCAUCUAAGCCUUCAACCGGGUGGUCAAAGAGUGGAGCUGGUAGGCUAGAUGAGCUAGUAGGAAACACAGAAUGCAACUCAGGGUAUCGAUUCCCCGCAUCUGAAGUAAGAAUGCAACCCACAUGCCUCAGACUGCAGCUAAUGGUACUAAGGCUUCAACUAGGGUGUUACAGGCUAUAGCUAUUAACUCCAAGCCUUCAACCAGUAAGUAAAAGAGUAGAGCUAGUCAAGUAAGAAGCAACCCAGGGAGUCACAUAAUGGAACUACAAAGUACAGAAUCAAACUAGUAAAUCCAAUACUAUACUUCCCAAUAUCAGAAUCAAACCGGGGAGUCCAAGUCGACAAGCAACGUAGUAAGUAGUUGUGCUAAAGUUGUUAAGGAGUCCUGUGUUCGGCAUCUAAGAACCAAACAGGGGAGUCCAAGCCUGCUGCAGCUAUUAGCUAAGGUCUAAAACCACUGCUACAAGGGUCGGGUAGGCUGAUUGAAUUACUUGCUUGUUAGGAUGGGUAUUAUAUAUAGUUUACAGAGGAGAGAGAUUAGCUAGUUGCAAGAGAAGAGAGAUUGGCUGCUGAAUCCCUAGUUUAGUCAGAAGUUUACAAGUAGUGGUCCAAGUAGUAGUCCUGUUUACAGGUAAGGGAGUGGAGGCCCUUAUAGUAAGUUUGUUCACUAAAAGGGGAGAAUUGACACUCACAACUAGGAAUACGGAAUGCGGAAUGGAAGAAUUGAACUAAGUAGACUCGGAAUGGACCAGUGGUGCAAGAAGUAAGAAUGGGGCUAGUGAAACUAAGAGAAGGAAUGAGCUAAGGACAACUAAGAAUGUAACUAAGAGGUGAGACAGAGAGGGAUUGGUAAAAAGUAUUUGCUUGGCCAGGUGCCUGAUUGAAGUCUUGUUCCAGUCAGAAAGUACAGAAGCUAGCCCUGAAGUUAAUGGUUUGAGUUGAAGACAGGUAGUACUUGUUUUGUUCGUAGUAGCUUGGCAGUAGACAUAGUCCAGGAGCUCCUGUUCUCUUAUAUAAGUAAGUUAGUCCGUCUACAUUUCCUGUGUUCCUGUUCUGGUUCUAAAGUCAGAUGUUGGUUCUAAAGUCUGGUGAGUAGAGGUGGGUUCGGUUCGGGGUUAACACUUAAUAGAGGUCGGGUGUCAGGUAUUGUAUUAUAGAUGAUAGGCUGAGAUCGAGGUCUGUUAUUCUAUUCUUAUUGGAAUACCGGGUAGGAAUGGAAACUGGAAGGUCAGAAUCCAACAAGUAGGCAUCAGAGUGCACCUCAGUAGUUUCAGAGAAGAGUCGAGGCCCUUAUUGUAAGUUGCAGACUUGAAGUAACUUGAGAGGAGAGGUGAGCUAGUAGGAAAGCUAGGCUUGGGAUGAGCAAGUCCUGAUUCCGCCAAGUCCUUAGUCCAGCAUGGCGGCAGGAGCCCCGGCGAGUAGAUAGUGGAAUUCUUUGUCAGUAGGUGAGAGUAGCUAUAUUCAUUCUUUGCCAGUAGUCUCGAGUAGAUAUUGGAAUUCUUACAAUUGAGCACACGGCUUCAGAUCUUGUUCCUUACGUUUGAUACCUUCCCUGCCUUAGUAGUAGCUUGGCUGUAGCCAGAGGCAUAACAGUCUAAGUUUACAGAGCCCAUAGCCAUAACAGUAGUAGUUAACAGAGGUGGAUGAGCAAGAGGGUAAAUCUUAUAGGAUAAAAGGAACUAGAACAGCCGAUAGCUAUCUGAAUGUGGAAUUUCCCAUAAAACGGGCACAGAUGAGCGGCCCUGCCGCGACACCGAACACAGGACUUAUUCUUAACUGGCUAUAACUACUUAUUUGUCCUACUGCCGCACAACGGCGUAGCCGUUGCUUGCCUAUCCGUGUCUUGGCUGUUAUAGUGCAUUUGAGCCUAACAUCUUUAGGGUUCCCUUGGGGCAGUUACCUCCUAUGUUCCAGUUCAUAAGUCAAGAGUGAGAGUCGAGGUCGGGCACUUAUAAUAGGUCGGGUCGGGUUUCACUCGAAGGUUAGAAUGCAACGGCGUAGUCACAGAAUGAACCUAGUUGUCGACUUGGCCCGAUGUCUAGUAGAUGAUAUCUAGUAUUGGCGAACACAGUACUUUGUCUUUAGCUGUUGCUUGGCGGCUUGUCUACCUAUCUGCUUGUUAGGGAUCUUUCUUAUAAGAAUUCCACUCUGGGGUAGGAAAGGAAGAAUAAAACAAUCAAGUAGGAAAGUCAGACAGAUGUUAGGAUGGAAGGAGACUCCACUCUACUCUUUGUUGCCAGUUGCCAGAGGUAUACAAUUGUUAUUGGAGAUUUCAUGCUAUCUCCCCUGUAAAAGAUGCUAAAUCAUUGCUUUUAUUCGUGUGACGCGGCAGCCACUUCCCCAGCGAGUAGUAUAGUAGUAGAGUAGUCAAGAGCAAGAGGAGAGUUUGAGUUGAAGACCAGAGAACAUUUGUAUAUAUACCUCGGAGAGGAAGACUGGUUAGUAUCAUAUUCAGAAUUGAACCCAGUUAGUUGUGAAUCAGUAUUAGCAGUAAUCGGGUCCUUAUAGUAAGUCGGGGAGUUCAAUCAGUUCUAUUAGAUAAGAUAUAAGAAAGAGGGCCAAGCACCGGUUUGAGUCCGUGAAAACAUCUACGAAGACAGAACUUGCCUCAUAGCAAUUCCAGACUGAAGUACCUGAGCCUAGUUCUCUUUCCUCUAAGAAUUGAGUUUAGAAGAAAGAUAGAAGUCCUGUGUAAGGGAAGGGAGUAGAUUGAGGCGAGGAAGCUAGAAGUACUGAAGUUGGUUCGGGUAGUUGUUGAAGUCAGUUACUAGUUAUGAAGUAAGGAGUUAUGAGUUAGAAGUCACUCUUGUCUGCUUGUCUACUUAUCUGCUUGUCGGACCGGUUCUUGCUUUUGUAUACGUUGCUUGCCUGAUGCAGAAAAUAACUCUCAAUUUGUCCCUAAAACUUUACUUGCUCCGGACCAGACGGGAAGAAAUGGAGAGUUUGGGUGCGAAAGAAGAGAGGCUCGGGUGGUUGACUUACUUGCUAGUUAGGGUAGGGGUCCCGUGUUGCCCGUCAUGUGUUUAGUUCAGGGGUCGGGUAGUCAAAAGAGAGUACCUUCUUCGGGUAGUAGUGGAUUUGCCCCAGUAGUUGUAGCUUGGUUAGUAGGCCUACAUGCUAUGUGGUUUGUGAGCCAGAAGUCUUAUAUAAGAGAUGAGCCAGAGUCGAGUCUACUUUCCUAGAAACACUAGCGGCAGAGGCUUUAGUAGGUUCGGUAUCAUCUGUCACCAAGGAAAAGAGGUAUGCAAGGGAGCAAUAAGUACUGAAGUAAUGACUUGGCUAUGAAGAAAAAACCCGUGUUUGGUGAACGAGUCCACAAAGAAUUCUACGACUACUGUACUGGGCUUGCUUGUUUCAAGAAGUAUUUGUUUACAGAGCUCGUGCUAGUGCCACCGAUUCCCUUUACUUGCCUACCGAUUCCCCUCAGUCUGUUACUAGUGUUGAGUAAGCCCGAAGUUAGUAGCUAGUAAGCCCUAAGUGAUAAGAAUGAUGGUAUCAACCCAUCGAACAGGAAUUGGAAUAAUUAAGAUUAUUAGCGGAAAUGGCUUUGCUACGAACCGCUCCUACCGCGCUACGUUAGUAUACGCUUGGCCCCGGGUUUCUUAAAAAAGAAGUCAAUUGGGGAGCUCUAGUAGGUAAAAUGCCAGUGCUGCCUUUUUUCCUGGGUUUUGGUGAACAGUAGUGCUAGGGUGCUCAAACUCAAGAUGUUGAUUCGGGGUUCCUAUUGCCUAGUUAAGGGGUCAGGUAGGCUUAUGUUUCUCACCUUAGAAAACGAUCAAUUAGAAAUCAUAAAAAAACCAGAAGAUUACUCGCUAAAAAGGUAAGCGAACCACGACAAAAUAGUAAGUGAAUCCCGACACCCUGUUUUGAACAUUUCACUCCUAAAAAGUAAGUGAAACCCGACAAAAAGGUAAGCGAAUCGCGACAAGGACAUCCUCAAUCUGGAAGGUAGAAAACAGAGGAAAAGAAUGAUGGUAUCAACCCCUAAAUACUGAAUUUCAGGAGUGAUAGAAACCCCCUAAAUACGGAAUUUCAGGAGUGAUAGAAACCCCCGGAAUACUGAAUUUCAGGAGUGAUAGAAACCCCCUAUAUACUUCAUUUCAGGAGUGAGGAGUUGACUUAUCACUUGUACAGAUUGGAUAAAAUGGAAAGAAAACAAGAGUUGUUUUCCAGCCUCGGGGACCGACCUUAACGCAUGCAUUUCGCACACAUAGAUGUCAAGGCGCUACUGGGCGAGACCUACUAGACUAGCACUAAAGUCAUCUUUCCACUCCUCUUAUAUACAAGUGAACAGUAAACAACAUGACCACUGGAAUUCUAUCUUACUUAUAUAAGAGAACAUAAGAGCGUUAAACUCUGUUUUGUUAAAAAGUAUCUUUCUGUUUUUGUGUCGGAUAUGGGUGAGUUUUGCCUCGUUAAGGAGUCGGGCCCUUAUUGUAAGUUCCUUCAGAAAGAGUUAGUUCGGGUCGGGGUGUCAUGUCAUAGAUGUGGGUGCCGCGUAUGGGUCCUGUCACAAGAUGGUACUCUCUUUUGACUACCCUAACAACAAAGCCGGUAUAAACCCUUUCUUAGACCAAAAAUCUUAUAGUGAGAAAGGACUCUUUUGGCCCCUAAGGGGGUAGCAAAUGUCAUAUAUUACCUAAAACGAUCCAAAGUGAGAAAUCCUUUAGUUGAUGCCCCUAUUCUUGGGGGUAGUGCUCCUUUCCUGACUUUCUUGCUUGUAUGAGUAGGGGUCCCGUGUUGCCUAUCAUGUGUUCUUGUGUCGGGUCGGGUGUUUCUGCUUGGGUGUUUCCUAUCCUGUAGUGUUGUUUGUUUGCUUCUCGGGCUUAAGUAUAAGAGCCGAUCCUUCUCCUGUUCCUGUUCGAGUGAUCAAGUGAGAAAAACAAUCCAAUCACAAUUUAGAAAAGAACAAAUAAUCCAGAAAACUACUUAUCUUGACGCUCUACAUACACAGUAGCACUGCACUGCCGCGUAACAUUAGUAGUUACUUGUCGGCAUCAAAUGCACUGGAGCAGCACUUAUUUCGUUUGAUAGCAAAUAUUACAUUGCAUAACGACUUAUGGGCAAAAAAGUGAUUUAUGGCUAAAAGAAUGAGGGCUCCCUGGGGGCAGUUUAGACCCCAGUGUCAUCUGGUUUAUUUCCCUAGUUCAAUAUAGUUUCUUUAAUAAGAUAAUAAUUCAUUUAGUAAGGCAAGCAGUCUCCUUUUGAACUCACUCCUACAGUUGAUCACCUGGAAUUGCUCUGGAUCAUACAUAUAGAAUAAAGAAUCCAAGCCGGGUGCAGAUAUCUAACUAGGGAUUCCACCCUAACUCGAACUGUGAAACUACUACCAGGUACCCUACUUUAAUGGAAAAAAGCACAGAGGCAUAGGUCUUACUUGAUUCUGCCUAUGAUAUUUGAUUCCUUUCGACCGAGAUACCCAUACCCGAUAGCUGCUGUCAAAUCAUUAGCUGCUGUCAAAUCAUUAAUUGAUUCUUUCGUUUCUUUUGCACUUGAUAUACAAUUAAGUUGAGUUGCUUGUUGGAUCAAGACUCACUUCCACGACCUCGCCUCCACCUCCGCUGCCUCUGCCUCUCAAUCUUCUCAAGUCCUGUGUUCGGGAGCUGAUCGGGGUAAGCCUGAAACAACUAACAACCAGCCUGAAACACCUAACUAUCAGAAUGAAACAAAGCAGACUCAGAAUCAAACUCACUCGUCACAGAACCAACCCAGUGCCACUAAGCCUUCAACCGGGGGUAGUGACAGAAUGUAGCUAGGUAGUAUGGGAAUGGGACUGAUGCUAUGUAGCUGUUGCCUAGGAAGGGAUCGGGGUAGUUUACUUACUUGUAUGGGUGGUGACUCUACUUCAAUACUGGUGAGAGUGCUUGUGUUUGGGUAGUUACCGCAACUCAGCAUUUAGUACUUGUUGUUGAAUGAAGUUACUAGGCCUGCAUUAGGGUAGUUAAUGAAGUGACUAUGCCUGCAUUUAGGGUUGUGUUUCCUUCUUGUUGGUAGUGGUAGAGAGGUCGGGUAGGCUUGCUGGGUGUUAGAUUAGAGAUGCAAAAGCCGCUUCUGCUCCUAGGUAAGAGAAGCCAUAUUAUGAGAUUAGCCGGAGUUCACAGAGGAAGUGGAGAGGUCGGGUCAGGUGCUAGUGUUUCUAUAGUCAUUAGUCUGGAAAGUAGUAAUUACAGAAAAAGAAACAGUACCCUAGAUUGCUGCUUCCUUUCUUUCUAAACAAGAAUAUCUCUUUCCGAUCUAAACUCUCACUUGAACAGGAAUUGGGGCAGUACUACAUGAAACAAGGAUCGAUGUAAUUGAGCUCGAACAAGAACAGGACUACCAGUACGUGCUCCUUCUUUACCAACCCUAGCAACUACUCGGUCUGAAGACUAUCACUCUCAUAGGACUACUACGCCUACUUCUUGAAACAAGCCCUGCUGCUGUCAACUAGACCUAGACCUUAAUGAUUCUCUGUCAACUAUCCCUCGCCUCUAAAGUCACUUAUUGUCUUCCCCGACCUCUCAUAACCAGACUUUCUCACUGGACCUGGGGCAGCAGACUUCAAUCCUAUUUUGAUUAACUCUUUCACUCCCGGCUCAUCCAACUCUGGCUUAAAAUACUUCUUUUCUCUCUCUAGCUCACUUCUUAGUUUCAUUCUCACUUUCCUUAUUCCGAGUGUAGCUAUAGGCAUAGUUUCAUUCUUUGACUCGAGGGGAUCCAUCCGAUUCUGUGACUUAUGAGUUGGUCUCCUACUUUGGGGUUGAAUUCUUAUAAUACAGUUAGGGCUCUGACCUAUGGCUACUCUUUACUUCAUUCUUAUCCUAUCACUAUGGAAACUAACCCGACCUAAACUCAGGCUUGGCUACGCCUACCUCGACUCGCGUUCCAUUCUUCCAUUCCUUAUUCCUAGCCGUGGUUGUCCAUUCUUUGACUCACUGGUUUGGUUCUGAUCUCGGUUGGGGACUAUUCAAUAAUAGCUAGCGGGGCAUUAAGCCUUUGACUACGUGGGUUCGUUCUUUCCCUCCUUAGCAUCAGAAUUGGAUUCACUGGUUGGAUAGCCUGUCACUGCUUGCUUUAAGCCUUGGACUCAGGUCAGAUAGCCUGCCACUACCUGGGUGAAGUCUGGUCGGUGUGAGUUUNNNNNNNNNNNNNNNNNNNNNNNNNNNNNNNNNNNNNNNNNNNNNNNNNNNNNNNNNNNNNNNNNNNNNNNNNNNNNNNNNNNNNNNNNNNNNNNNNNNNNNNNNNNNNNNNNNNNNNNNNNNNNNNNNNNNNNNNNNNNNNNNNNNNNNNNNNNNNNNNNNNNNNNNNNNNNNNNNNNNNNNNNNNNNNNNNNNNNNNNNNNNNNNNNNNNNNNNNNNNNNNNNNNNNNNNNNNNNNNNNNNNNNNNNNNNNNNNNNNNNNNNNNNNNNNNNNNNNNNNNNNNNNNNNNNNNNNNNNNNNNNNNNNNNNNNNNNNNNNNNNNNNNNNNNNNNNNNNNNNNNNNNNNNNNNNNNNNNNNNNNNNNNNNNNNNNNNNNNNNNNNNNNNNNNNNNNNNNNNNNNNNNNNNNNNNNNNNNNNNNNNNNNNNNNNNNNNNNNNNNNNNNNNNNNNNNNNNNNNNNNNNNNNNNNNNNNNNNNNNNNNNNNNNNNNNNNNNNNNNNNNNNNNNNNNNNNNNNNNNNNNNNNNNNNNNNNNNUGGUUGGAUUCUUUCCUUCAUUCUUUGCCUGCUGAUCGGUAGGCUUACUAAUAUCUUAAGUAAACUAGCUGCCCCCUCGCUUAUUCCUUAGUUCCAUUCUUAGUUUCACUAGCCCCGAACACAGCACUUCUAUCUUUCUAAACUCUCUCUUUAAUAAUAAGAUCUUUCUCCACUUUAUCCUUACUAAGAGAAGAAUUCAUUUGAUAGCGCCAAGUAACUAUGUAAGUGUAGCGGUAGGAGU